ACUUUUUACAAUUGCACAUAACUUUUUAUUACAUCUUUCACUUUACAUUCACUACAACAAAAUAUGUUUUAGACGACGUUUUAUUCUAACGUCUUUAAUAUUCGACAUUUGCCGACACUAUAAUUAAGCGUCGCCAAUAAACAUAUUUUUAUCAAAUAUUUAUAAAAAAUUUUCAACGCUAUAUUAAAACGUCGGCAUAUUUAUCCCGACAUGUUUAUUUAGCGAUUCUUUAUUCGACGCUUUUACAAGCGUCGGGAUUAUUUUUGCCAACGCUUUAAAGCGUCACUAUUUAUUGUUUAAAGUGUCCUUAAAUGUAAGAUUUUUUGUAGUGAUUUGGCAUCUAGUCGCCAGAAUAGUACUCAAGUGCUAGAAUUACAACCAAAGUUGAUUUCUGCUGUUGGUUAAAAAUACUACCCAUAUGUGAUAUAAAGACUCUUAAUUAGCUCAUACAUAAAAUCUAAUAGAAAAGCUUUCUUUAUACGUGACAGAUACUCCGGACGAAAUUUUUGGUGCUCCACUAAUCUCGUCGAGCCAAAUGGAGCAGUAGAGAUCUCAUCAUCAUCAUUUCAGUGUAAAAAAAGAUACAAAAAUAAUUUAAUAAUAUUUAGUUUCAUAUGUCACUAUUCUUAUAUCUAAGACGCUUUUACGGAAAAACUUUUCUGUGGUCCAAGAUAAGGUCGCUGAUUAGGUGCACCCUCAUACAAUGGUAUCCUGUACUCGAACAGAUUUCGCUGCUUAAUUAUUAGAACACAUUUGAGUUAUCCAAAUAAUUAUUAAUUCGUGAGCCGUAUGUAAGAAUUUUCUGUACACAACAAAUUUAUAGAGAAAAUAGUGCCCUUCCAAAAUGCUACAUGGAUUUACAACCAAACAUUUUGCAUCAAAGUUUUUGCUUUCAUGGAAAACAUUGAUGGGUUGGUAUCUAUCGCUCCAUCAAUGAUAUUGCUCUUUAGUUGUCCAAGGAGCCCUUUAUUAGUGUGCCACGUUUGUACUACAUCAUUGGAUGGUACUCAGGGAGAUAGUGUCCCGAGGGGUAUUUUAGUCAUUUCACAGCUAUGGAUUUGUAUAGAACACAAUGUGUCCCUUUGAGGGCCCAUCCCCUUGGCGAGGACUGGAACAGCUGGAAUAUUACUUCUCAUUGGAGGGUUGGGUCCAAUGUGGUUCGGCCAAGUAGAGUGGGUUUGAUUGGCUAAGAGAUUGGGUUAGGGCCCACAUUGGUCAAAAUUUACUUUUCUUUUUCUUUUUUUGUUUAAUUUAUGGAUGCCAAAAGUAGGUUGAGUUAGCCCCACUUUUGAGUUCCCCACUCGGAUGGAUAAUUCUCGAAUGUCUGGGUGCUUUUACCUAUUUAUCCUUUUAAUUUUUUUCUUAUAAAUUAAGAAAAACUUCAAAUAACCCCGUAUGGUUUCACACUUUUUCUCACUUUACUACUCUGUCGUUGAAAGUGUAUCAAGUUAGUACCCAGUGGUUUCAUACUUUCUUAUUUUAAUAUCCUGUAGUUUAAAAUAUAUCAAGUUAGUAUCAUGUGGUUUCGCACUUUCUCACUUUAGUAUCCUGUGGUUUAAUAUUUCGUUAAAUUAUAUACAAAAAAAACUUCAGAUACCCUACCUAGGUUUAUCGAAUAUUCAUUUUAGUACCCUUUAAUUUUAACUUUGUCACUGAUUUAACGAAAAAAAUACACCGAAAUGGAUAAUAAAAAGAAAAAAUAAAACCAUAGGGUACUAACUUGAUACAAAAAUAAAACCACAUAAUACUAACUUGAUACAUUUUAAACCACAUGGUACUAAAGUGAGAAACUACGAAACCACACGGUACUAUCUUGAUAUAUUUUAAACCACAGCGUACUAAAGUAAGAAACUGUGAAACCACGUGGAGGGGGUAUUUGAAGUUUUUCCUAUAAAUUAUAUUGCUGGUCGCUAUUCCACUUUGGCCUUUUCUAAUUUGCUGCAAUAAGGGUUCGAAGCAUCAACUAACUACAAUUCUAAUUUAAAUCUUAAUUUCUAAAUUUAAAAUUGCCAUGGCAUGUUAGAUAUCCGAUUCUUCGGGAAAGAAUAAAACAAUUUAAUAGCUUAGAAUUUAUAUUAUAACUUAAAGUAUUUUGCUAUUAUUGCUACAGUAGUUUUGGUACUAAUAUGAUACACAUAAGAAUCGUACAUGUGAGAACAAAAAUUCUUCUUUUGAAGCAUGAUAUAACGAGGGCAAAAUUAAAUGAUGUCCCUAACGCACCGUGUCGUGAAUCACAAUUUUUUUUUUUUUUAAUUUCCGUUUCAUUUUACAGUUUAACUUUUAAUAAUAAUAAUAAUAAUUAAGUUGGAUGGUUGGUUGGACAGUAGGAUUUUAAGGGAGGGACAUUUGUCACUGUGUUAGGUACUCCUUAUAUGAUACUCUAUAAGCAGUAUCUUAAAUUAUUUGUACUUAAUUAAUCCUUGUCCUGUCCAUCUUUACAUAUAUACCCUUUGCUAAUAAGCUAUUUAAAAUCAGCUUUUGGAACAGUUAUAAAGAGAGAUACUUUUAAGCUUACAGCUGAACCAAAUUAAACUCCUCCUUUAAUGCAACAAUUGAAAUAGAAAUGCUAACCACAUUGUGAGAGUGAACAGAGCUGGUUACAAUAUCAAACUCAUUUUCAGAGUUACUGUUCUUUGAAGGUGAAUUAUGCGUGUCUAAGACAAAUUUGAGGGUGAGAGACGAGUAUUCGAGAGAAAUCGGUUUCUGUAUUCUUGUUUCAAGUUUGGGGAGUCUCGUCCCUGAAGUUUUUACUGUAGUGUUUUCAAAUUGGUGUGAAGUGCUUUCGUUGUGGUGUUUACAAGUUACGGUUUGGUGUUAAAUCUCGAAACCAUUCGAUUACCUCGCGAAGUGGUUUACCAUUUAUCUAGGUGUCAAGCCCCAGAAAAGUUGCAGUUUGAUAGGUAAUCCUGCUAAAGAUCUUUUACGAGGAUGAUGCCACCUAAAAUUUUAAGUACUGGGGAAAGAAGUUAAGAAUAAGCCAAAGUGUACCAUCUAAUUAAGCUUUUCAAAAGCAAGAGUUAUAUAAAAAAAAAUAUUGUACGAAAUUCCACCUGUCGCGAUUAUCUCGAAAGUUCCCCUUGUCGACCACGAUUAUCUGUAGGUUAAUCUACACUUUGCAGACUAAUCCAGUAGGUUAUACAUCAUGCAAUCCAAUCAUGUCUUUUACCAAAAGAAGUUUUUAAGUAAAGGGCACAUCCCCUUUUGUUUAAAAUUGGUUUCUCAAAUGUAGCCGUGGAUGUGGCAUGCGUCCACAUUUCUUGCAUCGAACUCAUCCUAAACUCUUCCACUAAAAUCCAUGGAGCUGGAAAGGUCGCCGCGAUUCGCUCUUUGCUUUAAUAGGCCCACUAAUUGUGGGUCAAAAAGAGGUAAUCAACUCACUUAAAUUGCACCAAAUCUAGAAAGAUAAGUACUACCAAAAUAUUUGCCGCACGACGCAACAAUGAUGAAAUCACAUUGUUCUCUAUAUUAAUUUAGUGAAACCAGUGCACAGCUUUCUUGUUCGUGAGUAUUCAAAGAUUCAUUUUGUGAGAAUAAACUUUUCUAUGAGAACCGGAACGACAUAACUAGUGUGACCAGAGGUUGGUGAGCGGCUUUCCACGUUGACAAGUUAGUAUGGAAUGCAUCGCGAGAUCUUUUAGCUGUCGCUCCACCGACUCGAUUGAUUGGGAGCCAUCAACAAUCUGAAACAAAGCAUAUAAAAGAGGAGAAUCAGAGGUUGCUGGAGAGAAAAAGAUUACCUAAUGGUACAGUUGUAAAAAUGAUAGUGAAAAAGAAAACGAAAAUGAAAGAAAAAUACGUGUAGACAUGAAUCAUCUUCCAUGGAGCAAGUAUAAAGUACCGCCAGUACAAUAUACGUGUAAGUACAUAUAUGCGUACGUAAUCGAUAAAGAAGAGUUGGGCAACUUUGUCACUGGAUGCCCAAAGGAAUCAAAGUCUAAAGAAAAGUGGAGAGCUGUAAAUAAUCUGCUUCAGUUGGACUAAUGUACAGGACAGCGCAUUUGAAAGUAACUUGGAUGGUGGAGAAAAUAAAUUCACAUUUCUCAAGAAUAUACUAUUAUAUCAGCUAUAGGUCAAGAGCCAAACAACACCUGGCAAAUCAUGGUAGGAAUGAAAAUUAAAAGAGUAGAGAGUAUAUAAUAUACUAUUAAGCCUAAAUCUAAAGGUUUGGGUUAAAUGGGUUCCAAGAACUGUGUCAUAUCCUUGGCUUAUGUGGGCUUGAACUUUCGCAUUGUUUCCUAAACACAUCACCAAACUGCACUAUACAAGUUUGGCGAAGGCACACUGUCUCAUCCAGUUCCAAUUCCGAGCUAUAAAUAGUACUUUGCCUAACUGCUGUUAAGUGAACAUGUUGGAUAUGCGGUGGAACCCAAGCAUUAACCACAAUCAGUACCAGAUAUGGAACAGUGCUGCAUAAGCAAAUGUCAGAUGCAACUUUACACAUUGAAAUAUUUAAGUAGACGGCUUAUGCAACAAAGCAUAAAAAGUUAUGCACACAUAAUGACCCAACUAUUGGGCCAAAAACUGAAAACUCUGGUUCCUUGGGCAUGACAUUCUUCUUUCGCAGACCAUUAUGAGGAAAAUCCUUACAAGUGAGCUAGAUGACACUUCUAUUGAGAAAAGAAACACAAAAUGCUGAGAAAAGAUAUAACUGGAAAAGAUCAAUAGUUGCUUAGCGAUAAAAAAAGGUAAUAAUUUUUAUUAAUAUAUUUCAGUAUCCUCCCUUUGUUCUGACAAAAUUAAUUUGAAGAUAAAUACCUCUUAAGUAAUACCAAGUAAAUAAAAGCAUUGGCUUGUCUGCUUGUGGUGUUAUCGUUGUUUAGCAGCUGUAGCUUUCCUAAUUUCUUAAUAAUGAAAGUGUCUUGAACAAUAGACGGGCGAAAAUUAAUGAUAAUACGUCAUAUUGCCAAUACCAGACAACAAGGAGAACUCCUAGGAAAAUAUCAGUACUCCACAACUAUACUACUGCACAACUAAGUCUUGAGAUAUUGGCCCAGCAUAUCCACAGACAAAAUUAAGAACUAUUGACACCAGUAAAAGAACAGUUUUACGUCUUUAUCAAAUGCUAUGCCACUCGCACAAGUGUAGGGUAUCUAAUGCAUCACAGCAACAUUACAGUGUCAUUACUCAUACAAACGGACACAUAAUUUAAAGACAAAAUUCAUAGUAGAUGCAGGAGAGUAAUCAAGAACUAAAUGAAAGAAUAGGGCACGGGCACCUCAACCCACUUAUUACCUCCCAAGAAGAAUCGAGGAGAUUAUGAUAGUGCUCAGCAACUUUUCCUUGGAAAUCUAGUUGUUCAUAUUUCUCAAGGCCAUAACCUCCUCUUUCAGCUGCUUUCUGAAAUAAUACUUCUUUAGUGGGAUCUCAUCAUAAAUGACAAAUCAGAAAAUGUGAUAUGUUGAAUAAUCAUGAGAUGAACUGAAGACAUGAAUUUUCAUAGUCAUGAUUUGGAGAACUCUAACAACUGCAUAUAAAUAGGUAGCGCCCUCAUACUGAAAAUAUUAAGCAAGUUGCCUAAGUGAAUGUUAUUUGAGAGAGAGAGAUCUAAUAUAAAAUUUGCUUCUCCUAACUCGCAUAUACUACAUAUGAAGCAGGAAAAGCAAAAAGUGCUCAUUGCUAAAUAUUGCUAAUGUUUUCAGAUCCAACUCGGCUCUUACAACAAGCCAAGCUUGAAUCUCUCCAGCUCAUGCUUACUUGCCUCAAGUUGUUACAUGGACAAACACCUAAUUUUAUAUUUGCUGAUUAUUCUCUUUCAUUGCAGCUUCAAGCUGUCAUCUUACUGAUAAACAAACUAUGUAAUUAUAUAUACACAUUAAAAAUAUUUAAAAAGUCAAUUAAUGUUUUCUAUAAGUUGUCUUUGGCUUUCUGCGCCCAAUAAGAAAGGCUUAUUAAGUAAUUGAAAUAAUUUCAGAAUCAAAAUCCAAGACUAUGAUAGAAUACAAUCUCUCCUUUAAUUCAAGCUUCUAGGAAUUGCUUCAUUCAGAACAGCUAAUUAAUGACACAGAAAAAGGCAAGUAUACUUGUAUAACAUUAAGAAUAAGAUGACAUAUUGGAUGAGGAAAAAAGAUAGUAAUAUACAGGAUCCUAGAAACUACCUCUGGAGGUACAUCAAGAUAUACAACUACAUCUGGUGCUAUUAACCCCACUUCUGGAGCCUGCAACAAGGAAACAAUAUUUUCUCCACAUGCAUCAGGCAGCUAAGAAGAUAAACAAAUCUCCCAAGUUUCUGAUGCAGCUCACCUUACACCACUCAAUAUUGAGUCCUUUGGCAGCAGAAAAAGCUACCCCAGAGUAAGAAUAGCGAUCAACAAUAAGGGUUGUUCCACUCUUUAGCUUGUUUUCCAUCAAAGCUCUGCAAACCAAGAAAAAACUUAAUUGGCUCUCUUAUCGGCACUAAACAUUUACUCUUAUCUUGAUUGGUAAAGUACCAUUGCACUAAUAUGGUGCUUAAGCAGCACAAGCACAUGUUCAGAUGUUUACAAGAAAUCCUGAAUAUGUUGUAUAUAUUGCAUGGCAUUUAGCAUCAAACCUUUUCUCCCACCGAUUAGCACUGAAAAGUAAGUGGAUUGUUCUAUCAUCUAAUUGCGACUCAUUUGCGAGAUAUGCAGAAAUCAUUUUGCCAACACUGGUGCUUCGGUCUGGAAAUUGCCAUGCCUCAACAGAAAACCCUUUUCCUUGCAAGUACGCAAGCAGAUUACCACAUUGUGAAGUUUUUCCACUCCGAUCUAGUCCUUCUAGGACUAUAAGAGAACCUCGUGAGCAUCCACGGAUAUCAUUAUCCAUUUCUACAGCACAAAAAGAUCUCAUAAUGUGCCGACACGAGAGUUUUACAUGACCUGAAGUUCCCAGUGAUCCGGCAUUCCUGCAACAAUAAUCAAAUUGUUAACAGGAAAAGCUAGUAUUCGUGUUUAAUUCAUUGCAGAACAUUUCACAAGUAGCAAGAGUUCGUUAAAGGUUGAAAUAGAGCGCUUAGGUCCUGCUCUAUUGAUUUAGAUCUUCCGACUACUUAGAAGAAAAGCUCUUUUCUUCUUCAGAGGAAGCAAAUCGAUUCUUAAAUGGACUAAUAAGCAAGCCGAAAACAUUUAGUUCCAGCAAUAAACAGAAUAAAUUUGUCAGAAAAAAGAUCGCUAUUCUAUGUAAAGAGUGGACCGAUAGGCACAAGUCAAUUCAACUUCAAAUGCACUUAAGCAGAAAAGGAAAUUUUCCACGACAAUGAUGACCGACAGCAAUCACAAGAAACUACAAAAUUCAUGCUUAUUCACUGUUCAAAAUCAAAGUCUUUUCAGAGGAGGACCGGCAAUAAUGAUAAAUCGAAAGACGUACAUUGCGUAAACAAUUUGCUUGCAUGCACAAAUAAGUGAAGAACGAUGAGGGGCCCAGGAAAGUAUUCGCAGACGUGAAAGAACGGCCAUUGACUUAUCCGAUCCUAGCGAAGUUGAAAGAGAGAAGGAAGAGAAGGAAAAUACAUCUACAUAAGUUAGAUGUUCACGGUAAGGCGUACACACAUAACUAAAUCUCUAGCAGAAUAACAAAGAGUCGGAUUACAAAGUAUACAGCAUCUCCAUUUCAUAUUCUCUACGUUACGAGGACAAGGAGUUCAAUCGAGUGCGUGAACUACACAAGUUAUUGGUCUUGCUGUCUAGUCUAGCUCUAUAUCUUUAAAGAUCGCAAAUAGUCGACGAUAUUUCAUAUUGAUAGGUGCUUUCUUCGGCAGUCUAUUCGUAGAAAAGACAUCAAAAAGAUAAGACCAAUUAAUGCAACUCUUGCCCGAAGAGGACGGAAAUUGACACUAAAAUUUGAAAAGAAGCCAAUCUAAAGAAUAAUUCAACACUAUUUAUUACACAAUAUAAUUAUCCCGAUUUCCGUAAUUUUACUUCUUCAUUAUUAUUACUUUACAUGCUUGAUUUAUUUCAAACUUCAAAAUAAGUUGAAAGUUUCCAAAUUGGAAAUUCAAAACUCUAACUUGCAAAUUUUUUUAAAAAAAUUACAUUUUUCUUAAUCCUUUUUGUAAGUACAGUGCGUAAAAGAGUGGAUUAGCUAUAAUCAAACAGAUAUGCGUCAUAUCACUUCAGAUCAUAAAGCAGUUUCGUGUUUUUGCUGGAUCCUAGAGCAUUCAUAGAUCAAUCAACUUCGUUCUACAAAUUUUAUCAACUAAAUCUAUGAGGAGAGAAUAGCAUUAACAUAGUAGUAGUGAGGAGAGUGUGAUUACCCUCUCGUUACGUUGAGCGUAUCGUAGAGAGAUCGAGAGGGUGCGAGAGAAAUGGGUGCGACGUCGAUCGAAUGGUGGGCCCGAAGAAGCGUUAGGGUUAGGGCGCGCCAACGCGAGAUUCGGGAGGGAAAGGACGGAUAAGGUUUUUUUUUUUGUUUUUUUGUGACUAUUUAAUUAAUCUUUUUAUUCGUUAAGUGAUUUGAUAACUUUUUAUGUAAUUUAAGCUAAUUAUUUAAUUUAAUAAAUUUAUAGUUAUGGACCCAAAUCAAAUAGAUUGGAAGGUUAGAUAGUAAAAUAAAUUUUUUUAAAAAUUAGAUAGUUUAAUUCAAAAAGGUGAUACUUGAGAUAAAUAAAUUUUAUGCAUUUUUAUCUUGUAUCUUUGCAGGUCAAAACCAUAUGUAUGACUAUAUGUAUAAUUUGUGCAAACAUUAAAUAAUAAAUUUGUAAAUCCACCACCAUAAGGUCGUAUAGUUUGCACAUGUAUUCCUCUGUAUUAACUAUCAGUUAAAGUUGACCUUUUUUCACAAAAUAAUUAUUCUGCCUUAGGUAAAUAUUUUUUUAAUAUUUAAUAUCGUUGUUUUUCAUUACAUUAUUUAGUUAUAUUUUCACAUUGAUUUCUGUACUAACUAUAAAAGAAUAAUAUUUCUAUCUUAUUCAAUAUUAUUAAAUAUUUCUAAUCUCUUUUAAAAAAGAGAGAAAAAUAAUAAAUAGCUCAAAAAUUACAAAGUUUUAUCAUUAAUUAUAAACCAUAAAAUUACUUACUAGAUUUGAAAUUACAAUAAAACGAUUUAACAUUCUUUGCAAAUUUUUUUUUUAAAAAAAACUCAGAUUAUCUGAUAAAUCUUAUUAUCAAGGUUAGCGAAGUGCAAAUGUGCUAAAUAACAGAGUGAAUUGACUUUUAUUAAUAUUUUAAUAGUAUUUAAAUUGAAUAGUUGUAUCUUUAUCUAAACUAAUUACUAACGAGGGACAGUUUUGAAAGUUUAUUUAUUGUACAUUUCAUUACAUUAAAGUGCUCUUUCAAAAAAAUUAAAAAAAUUCAGGAUAAAAUGGAUAUUUUCACUAAUUCAUGAUAAUCUAUCUACAAUAGAUAUUUGGUAGAGAGACAGAAAUUAAUGAUGAGAACAUAUUUAUAAGAUAGUAAGUGUUUAGAGGGGGUAUGAAUGAAAUUAACCCUUCAUUAGUAAUAGUUGGAACAUUUAGAAAGGCAAUUAUGAAAAGGAUAAAAUCGGUAUAUUGGUUGCUGUUACUGUAGAUUUUAAUAAAAAUGUGUUUUGAAGGGUAUUUUUGAAAAUGUUCUAUAUUUAGAGGAGCAUUUAAGAUAUUUUAUUUUUAUAGGGGUAUUCUAAUAAAUACAUACUUUUAAAGGGGCACACAGAAAAUUUUUCCUAUCAUAUCAUGUGUCGUUGGAAAUAAUAUUCUAUUUUGACUCCCUUAUUCCUUAUGCUGUAAAAUUGCCGAUUAAUACCCGUACAUACAUGGUUACCUGAUACCCACGGAGAAGCACAUUACAGUACAUGUUUGCUUUUGGCGGGAAUCCUAUUAAAAAUGGGCGCAUAUGGAUUUAUUUGGAUCAAUAUGGAAUAGUCUUGUAUAGAUAUACAAAAUACAAUAUAAAAAUUAAUCCAAUUUCUACCUAUAAUUCUGAUAUUACGAUCAGAUUGGGUACCAAAGAUUCACGAUUAAAUCUGCUUUCUAUGAAUGAGAUAAAAAUAGAAUAAUCAUGAGCACUUUUUUUUUUUUUUUUGAGAGAUAGGUAGCAUGCUAUCCGCUUCGUUUAUUUUAUUUAGAAAUAAACUUAGUUGAAAAUGUGAAUCAAUUAGGAUUCGAACUUGGGUCUCGGGUACCAACCACCAAGCCCUUUGCCACUUGCUCUAGGGACGAUCGGUAUCAUGAGCACUAUUCAGUUUUAUCAAAUGGGAUACAUCAAACUCGCAUGUCCAGUGACUCAUGUGUGGUAUUUGAAACGCCUUCUUAGUUAUAUCGCGAAUUUUUUAGAUAAACCCCUUAAGCAAUUAGAAGGCCUAGUGCCUUUCGAUACAAUCAAAUAGAUUGCCACAAACACGCCAUAUUCUAGGAGCCCAAACUAUGUGAUUGAAUAAAUCCUUCUCUAUCUAUUGGGGGUCGACGGCUCCUUCCCCUUCUUCAAACUCUGAUUCGUAUUUUUCAUAUAGAAAUCUUUGAUCAACGAGAGAUCACUUUCUCCUCCCAUUGCUUGGGAGCUCACGGUUUUAUGUUCUAUUUCACUCCCCAAUGGGAGGUCUUUUCACCUUUCUCUCACGGUACUACUUCGCUAUCGGUCACCCAGGAGUAGGGGUGUAAACAAGGCGAACACGAGCGAGCUUGUUCGGCUCGUUUAUUAAACGAGCCGAACAUGAGCUGGCUCAUUAAAGUAUCGAGCCAAAAAAUUCAGCUCGUGUUCAGCUCGUUAAUAAACGAGCCGAACACGAGCUGACUCACGAGCUGGCCAACGAACAAUAAAUUUAAAAAAUAUUUAUAUUAAUAUAUAUAUAUAAUAAAUUUAUAAAAUUUUAUCUAUUAGACUUUGAUCUAAUGUUAAAAUAUAUAUAUAAUGAAUUUUUUUAUAAUUAAAGUUGCAUUUAUAUUUUUAUUUUGCUAAAAUUAAAUAAUAAAUAUAUAUAUCAUAUAUAAUUAUUUAUUUUAUAUAAAAAAUAAAUUAAAUAAUUAUAUAAAAAAAUCAUUAUAUAUAUUCGAGCUGUUAUCAAGCCGAACACGAGCGAGCUGACUCCAGCUCGUGUUCGGCUCGUUUAUUGAAUGAGUUGAAAAAUCCAGCUCGUGUUCGGCUCGUUUACUAAACGAGCGAGCCGAUCUCGAGCUCAUUUCGAGCCGAACACGAGCGGGCUCGCGAAUAGCGAGCUGGAUUGCCACCCCUACCCAGGAGUAUUUAGCCUUGCAAGGUGGUCCUUGCUGAUUCACACGGGAUUCCACGUGUCCCAUGUUACUUGGGUCAGAGCGUAAGCUAGUGAUGCUUUCGGCUAGGUUAGAGUAUUGCUUUCAUACGGCAGGAGUCAUUAGUUCAAAUCCAAUAGUAGGUAGAACUUAUUAGAUGGGUGAGGUGUAGAUCUUACACUUCUCAUGGAAUGUACUUCUAGCAUUACUCAUAAGAAAAUAUGGGUCGUUAACCAUAGUUAGUUAAUUCGGAUUCGGCAAAAAUUCGGUACGGGUAUAAUUCGGAUAAAAUUCGUCUUCUAAUUUUUAAAUUCGUUGAAAAAUACGGCUAAAAAACAGAUUUGUCAAUUAUUUGGAUACAUGAUUUAUACGAUUAUUCGGAUACAUGAUUUAUACGGAUAUUAUACGUUCACCGAUUAAAAAUUCGGGAUUAAAAAUUCGCUAUUAAACCAACCGUCCCUAGAGCAAGUGGCAAAGGGCUUAAUGGUUGGUACCCGAGAUCCAAGUUCGAAUCCUAGUUGAUUCACAUUUCCAGCUAAGUUGAUUUCUAAAUGAAAUAAACGAAGCGGGUAACGUGCUACCCAUCUCUCAAAAAAAAAAAAAAAAAUGCUAUUAAAUUAAUCUUUUUUUCUCUCAAUAUUUAUGCUAUUAGCAUAAAUAUUUAUAUUUCUUAAGAAUAUAAGAAUAAAGAGCUACAAAAUUAAGCUAAUUAAGUAAAAAAAUUAACAAACUGUAUUAUGCCUUAAAAUAAAUAAAUAAUUAAGCAAAUAAGAGAUUAAGAUAGUCCAUAAGAGAUUAAGGUUUACCUUCCUGCGUGAUUAUUAAAAAUGUCGGUACCUAUCCUCUGCAGUUGGAUAUUGCACAGGUAAAUUUUCUUAUUAAAAUUAAUCACCAACAUUUAUAGUAUUUUUUGUUAUUUUAUUAAGAAAUAAUAAGAUUAUUCUGUUUCUUUAAUGAUAGACGAAAUACAAACUUAAUGCUGUUCUCCUAAGUGUGGAAUUUGGAACUUUACUGUACCUUUACUAUCCUCUCUUAGGUGUAUGGAAGAGAAUUUUUUGUGGCCAGGUAAAAAAAAAAUAAUAUGAAAAUAAAAUUAGUUUGUAUGAAUAUGUACAGCCAAAAUUAAUUUUUUUUAAUUUGCAGUUCGUUAUUGUUGGUAUAGACGAGGUUCUUUCUCAGAAGCCGCUUCUCUGCUUUUACGGACUUAUAUGUGAGAUUUUGUAUCUCUCUUAUCGCUUUUCCUUUUAAUUCCACUAAGAGUGUAUAUAUAUAUAUUUAUAUAUUUAUAUAUUUGCCCUGGAACAGCAUUGCCUGCCAAUGGAAGUCAUUCCCCAGCCGCCCCCGCCCCAGCUGCCCCGGCCAAUGGAACUCAUCAAAUGGCAUGAGUGUCAGUGUGCUGACUUUUGGCAUGAAACUGCCCCCCAAUAAAAACAUAAACUCUGCAACACAUUAUUUCUUAUGUUUUUUGAUGCGUGCUGACUGCUAACAUGAAAGAGAAUUUCAUUUCUAAGUAAAUAAUCUUGCUACUUGUGUGGAUUUUUGAGUUUCUGGGACCUGUGGCAAUACAGGAUGCUGUUUCUUUGUUCAGAAAGUAUGAUAUUUCUUUCUUGAGUUUUUCUGAGGAUUUGGGAAUAGGCAUUUUCUACUGAUUAGUUGCUGAUUUGGAGAAUUCUAUUUGGAUUCUUAUUUUGCUGUCGUUAAUUUACAUUUUGGAGGAGGCCCUUACCUUGAAGGGCAACCCAAUUAGUACCACAUAGUCCGGGGAGAUAAGAGAACCACGUAUUUGGUUUGUGUUUGUCUGGAGAUAUAUUCAUACCUGGAUCAUGGAUAGCUGGCAAAGACGUAUAACUAGUGUUUGACUAAAAGGGAUUCAGUUUACAUUUUUCUUUUCUUUUUCGUUUUUUUUUCCUGCCACCUGCAUUGUGUAUGUUUAGUGGCUAGCAAACUGAAUGACUUCAAAAUGAGGGUACAGUAUAACAGAAGCAUGGACACCUUAUUAGCCCUUUGCAAGUAGCAGAAAAACAUCUGGUAAAUCUACUUGCAGUGUAAUACAUUAAUAACCCCUUGAAUCAUUUCCCUGACCUUACCUAAGUAUUUACGUUUCACCAUGAAGAGCCGUACCUGUUUCUGGUUUUGUAGCAUUUUCUGUUCUCUUUUAGCUUGUUAUAGCUAUACCUUGUUCGGUGAAAAUGCUUUUCAGAAAGCAGAAUUUCUUACAUAGGUAGAUAAUAAGCUUAAACAUAGUUGCCGAUGAUGUGCUUUUCUGAGAAAUUUGCCCGAGUAUACUUGUUUAUCUUCCUCUCUCUGUUACUGUGGCAGAGACACCAAAUACAACAGGUUAUUUAAGAUUUCAAGUAAAUUCCAUUUGCUGUUUCAGAUUUUGGUUGGGAGAGAUGUUCGUGUAAUGUAAUGUGAAAGCUUGAGGAAUUCGCAGUGUUUGUUUGAAACAAACACAUCUGUUAGAUUUAUAAAAAAGAAAAAAAAAAUGAAGAAAAUGUUUUUCUAGUUUUGGCAGUCCCUUCCAUUUUAGACUUUGGCUUGAGUGUUGAUUGAGCCAAAGCGACAAUUGAGCUGUACUGGAUAAUGUUGAUUGAGCCAAAGCAGUGAUUGAGCUGUAAUGGAUAAUUAAACCUGGAGCUUGAUGUUCUUGAUUGGGACUUAUGUAGACUCGAAUGUACCAGUUUGCUAUGAAGUAAAAGCAGUGUUGAGCUGUAUAUUUUCUUCAUUUUGCCUGCAUAAUGUUGAUUGAUCCGGCUGCAAUAUUUCUUGGGUAGCAUGUGUCUUGGGCAGUUUGGAAGUGGCUUUGCAAACUUGUUUCAGUUAAUCUUAGUUUUAUACACAAAAUCACUCUCCAGUGAAACCAAUUUUGGCCAAAUCCGGCUGACUAAUCUCUAAGCAUGUUGCAUAUGUUGAGAUGAGGUACCGCAUUAAUCUACUCUUUCUGGGCAGACUUGGAGAUGCCUAUUUUUUGAUGAGUAAUAUGGUGGUGGUAUAAUUUUUGUGGUAAUAGUUGCUUCUCUACUCUAGUGUUUUGAGGCUAUGUUCAGUUAUUUUUCAGAAUUCUACCAUCUUCUUGGUUUUGUUUCUCGAUAUCUGUUGUCUUUAUGUUUCUGCUGCUACUGUUGACCAGGGCUCGCAUAGUUCUUAACAUCUUGUUGCCAUUUUUCCAUCUAUAACAAACUUCAUGAAAAUUAAGCAGGCUUUGUGGCUUUCUUUUUUGGACAAUUUUUUCACGCCAUUUGCUAGCCUUUUUGUUUGGCUUAUGCCGUUUGAAAGAUUGCGUGUUUGUAGAUCAGUAACAGAGUUGAUAUAAUUAAAUUUCCUUUGUCGGUUUGUACGAGAUUAAAUAUAUGUGGUGCAAAAGGCAUUUGACUGUAGGGGAGGAAGGAAAAGAAAGAAUGGUGAAAGGAAAACAAUUUUUGUAUUGGUGCUGCUGCUACUGCUUUCUCUAUCAUCUGCUUAGCAAUAGCAUUGUUGAUGAAAAAGAAGCUUGAUUUAAAUGUACCAGGUCUUUUACAUGUCUAUGCUUAUCCAAAUUGCAUUCACAUACACGUAACCAGCAAAUUGAACUUUUGUUUGUGUUCUCAGAAUUCGUGAAUAAAUACAAUUUUAAUUUAGGUAUGAUAUUUGCCAUUUGCUGACAGAAUUCAGGCGGCUUAUUUUCAAUUUGUUAUUGUUAUAUAUGGAUAAGAAGCUGAAUCUGACCAUGAUCAAUUUAUGGUACUGUAAGUAAUAAAUCCAGCUGCAUGACUGAAUCAAUCAAUGGACCACGUAAUCCACAUUUGCAUAAGAGAUAAAUGAUACAACUUAAAAAGCCAAAAAAAUAUGAAAAGAAAAGCGAAAAAAAAGGGGUGAUGGCAAUGGAAGACAUAACCAAAUUGUAGACAGCUACACAAUGCCAUUUUUUUAUUCACGACAUAUUGACUUCUCAUCAAGAUGGAUGGAUGAGGAUGAGCUCAUCAAGAUGCUAAUUUUCCACUAAUAACAACACUCGAGUUGUCUUUUCUUCGCAUUAUCUAUUCAAUAAUACACUAAUAGCAGUCUUACAAUAUUCUUAAACGAAAUAAGAAGAAAUCGACAUACGAUGGUAUAUGAAUAUAGUAUAGCUCAAUAAUCAAUAAAGACGAAAACCUCGCAAAUGCACUAUUACAAAGGAAAAUAAAUGGAAGUUACAUUUUAGAUACAACAUUGACUAAAUGUUCUUGAUCAUUGGGAACAUCAGGAAGAACCAGAAACAUGAAACAACAAUGCUCAAAGCAUAACAUUCAUAGAAACAGAAUGAUGAAAAGCACCAAAUUGAUUUUUAAUGAGCUCAAUUGAGAGAAACUAAAAUUACAAGCUAAUAGAAGCGUGUAUGAAUCAAAUAGAAUUUAAUCAAACAAAUUAGUAUACAGAAAGUUAGCAUAGAAUGGGAGGCAUUGGAGAUCAUCAUAAACUGCAUAUUUUGUCCUAGCCUUUCAUGAAGCAAUAAAAUUCACUGUUUGUUAAACAACAACUUAUCAAAACUGCUAAUAACAUCAUCAAACAGAAAAACAAAAGCAAACUUGAUAUUAGCUUGGCAAAAAUUUAAUCUUAAUAAUUGUUAUAUAUAGCCCUCCCUCAUACACUUAUAGGAGUUAACCCAUCUCUGAAAAUCUAUAAAAAGCGCAAGCUUGUAUUCACCACUACUGAUGGAUACAAAUGUCCAUUCCAUGCCUUCCCACGCAAGACAUAUCUGGCCAAGGCACUAGCUUUAUUUUCUUUCAUGUUCAACACCUCACAAGGAAACCAGGAGUCCUCUGAACGGCACAUCUUGCUGGAUCUGCUUGAACAGGAAGCAAAUUCUUUGGCCGGAACCAAACUGGGGUAAAAACCUCCGAUUAACUCUCCCUCCGUAAUGGACAGAAUUUCUGAUACAUCAACUCUCCACCCCCGCGGUGGCACUGUGGAGGAAUGUUCCCUAGUAUCAUACAUCACACAUUGAUGACGCAGCUGAUGACGCAGCCUGAGUAGCAAGAUACCAUCGUAAAAACAUACAUUAACUAUUUCUUGGGUGUACGCAACGGCACAAGUGAAUGGCGGCAGCAGGGGGAAGCAAGAAUGUCGUAGCUCCCAGCGGUUCUGCUGGAGAUCCUUUAGCACCCAAAUAAAAAGCCCUGAAAAAUGAUAAUGAGCGGCGAUGGAAACACAGCCUUCCAUCUCCAAAAUGAUCGGUGCAAAACCUUCGGUACCAUAAUGAGACAAUUCGCGUCUUCCGCAGUGGGCAACACUAGGGAUGGUCGUGUAUAUAUAUUUCUCGCUGCAGACAUCAACUGAUAAGAUCUCGUCUUCCGAAAUAUGACUGUGGGCCACCCAAUGUAUCUUCCCAUCAACACAAACCGGCUUCCCGAAUGGGGGCAAGAGAAGCCUACAAACUCUUCGCCAUGAUUCAUUGCAGCCCACAUCGCACACCUCCAGCACACCCGCACCGCCUGUAGCCCGCAAAGCAACAUAGUUCCCCUCUCGAGGAUAAGAGAUUCGGAACACUUUAUAUCCAUUGCUGGUCGAACAGAAGCCCAAGCCAACAAAGCAAUAGCAAUCCUCCAUGGGGGGAGGAGCUGCAGGCAGUGCGACGGAUUCGUCGGUGAGGGGAUUGCACACGAUUAUCGGCUCUGCAGGAUUGCGCGGAGCGAGACAGAGCAAGCCAUUGCACGUGUUGCACAACUCAUAAUUUUGAGGAGCGCUAAGAUGGUACAAUGGGAUAUGGCCGCCCCGGCGAAUCCGAGCUGGGCCCGACGAUGUGACGCCCUUCUUGCUGUCGCCGAGUAGCAGAAUCACAGGUUUCGGGUCCGGUCCCAUCCGACUAUAAUGAAGACUACGGAAGUAUGCAUUGCUCGCCGCACUGAACCACAGCUUGGAUACAAGGCCGGACCUGAGGACGGCCCUCGUCGGCAGCCGUGAAAGAAUCUCUUGAAUAAUUUCAUAAGGAGUUUCCUUCUGUUGUUGGUCCGUCGUCUCUAUUCGCAUUCGCUUCCGAUCCGAAUCCCAAACCGUCAUUUUUUUUUUUUUUUGAUUUGGUCCCCCUGUGAAAAGCGGAAAACCUGAGAGCGGUGGAUGAUCGGAUAACCAGAAAAUGUUGAUGAGCCAUCAAAAAGCAGACGUACAGUUGGAUUAAAGGAACGGUAGUAUAUAGUUACAGUUGCAAACCUCCAAAUCGUCUAUGCAAUUAAAUGGGUCGGCGCCUCUUCUAACAUAAUAAUACAGCGAUUACCAAAGAUUGAUCGGGCGAAUCGCAACAAUAGAAAACUAAAGCGUUUUCUCAAAAAAAAAAAAAAAAAAAAAAAAAAAAAAAUUUUCUCACUUGGGGGAGGGGUUGAGAAUGAGGUUGGCUGUUGAAGAGCAUUCGUUACCUUUUCUUCUCUUUAAAAAACUCUUUCAAAAACAAAAAAAAAUCCUCGAUCCUUUGCCGAUCUGAGGAUGGGGUUACCUUGCGUCCUUCCUCUCUUUCCCUGCUUCCGCUUUCGUCAGCUCUGGGACUCUGGAAGAGAGAGAGAGAGAUACAAAUAGAUACUAGAAGGGAAUACCCAGUAAUUGUUAUUGUAAUAUAUUUAUAUAUAGAGAGAGAGCGCGCGAGGGGAAAAGUUAUUUACAUAGUAUCUCUUGCAUUUUCCUAUUCUGUUAAUAUAUUUAAUCAUUAUAAGGAAUAAAUGCCAUAUACAUAUCUAUACACGGAAAGUUAUUUAUAUAAUACCUCUUGAAUUUUCUAAUUCUGUUAAUGCUUGAUCAUUAUAAGGAAUAAAUUCCAUACAUUCAAAUUUGAGAAACUGUUAAUAUAUUUAAUCAUUAUAAGGUAUAUAUAUAUAUAAAGAGUGAGGCUACUAUGCUUCUGGAAGCACGGAAGGCUCCGUGCUUCUAGGCUGUUUUCGAUAUUGCAACUUUCGAAUUAUCGAUUGGCUUCGUUAAACUUGAUCUAGAGUAUUUAAAGUAUCUAGAAAAUAAAUUUUGCAAUUUUUUGAUAUCAUUUGCCUAGUGAUCGAAGGGACUCAAAAUCAAUAAUUUUAAUGGUCGUGGUGAGCCGUUUGCAAGUUUAACGAUGUAGAAAUAUCCAAAUCACGUAAAAUUUUGAUAGAAAAUUCUUUAUACUAUAUAAAACAAGAUCAAUAUCUUUGAUCUAAAAUUUUAAUGUCAUAUUAUCACGUUUUGUAAGAUUUUUAUUUUCAGCCGUUGAUUUUAAGCCCCGUAGUUCAUUAGGCAAAUGAUAUCAAAAAAUUGCAAAAUUUAUUUUCUGGAUACUUCAAAUACUCUUAACGGAGCCGAUCGACGAUUCGAAAGUCGCAACAUCAAAAACGACCUGAAAGCACGGAAGGCUUCGUGCUUCCAGAAGCAUAGUAGCCUCACUCUAUAUAUAAAUAUAUAUAUACACGGAAAGUUAUUUAUAUAAUAUCUCUUGAAUUUUCCUAUUAUGUUAAUAUACUUACUAGUGAAGGUACCCGCGCGAUGCGGCGGAUCGAUUUCAUAGAAGUAGAUGAUCAAUUUUCAUAGAAGCGGUAAAUCGAAAAGUAGUCGAUAGUAGCAGAAAUGAACAAAUGAGAAAAUAUAAACAGUUAGCAAUAAUUGGUGGUACACAAAUAUACCAACAGUUAAGAACCAAUAGUCAGCAGUAAUAAUGAACAAAGCAGCGCAUUAGCAGUAAACAAAAACAUAUAGUUGAGGAGAAGUAAACAAUGGAGCAAUUGAAGAACCCCCAAACCAGAUCUAAAACAUCAAAACCAAUCUAGUAACUUUACAUUAGGUAGAAAGUGAUGCAUAUCUGGAAGCUUGAGUGUUCUUGUUACCCAGUCAUCACUUCGAUCAACGGCAUUGCCUGCGCCAAGAUUGUCGUCCUCCACCUCUACCACCACCACGCCUGUGCCGCUGGCUCAUCCACCUCGUCUUCCUCCACCGUACGAUCCAACCCCUAUUGCUUCGGACCCUAUGCCCUCGCGCGUCACACUCGCCGCACCCACCAAAGGUUCCUCACUGAUGGCGGGGAGGAUGGGUCUAGCAACUCCUUUUUCGGCGACGGCAAUAGCAACGACAGCCCCUUCGGUAGCAGCGGGGCGGCGGAGGGUGGGGCUCUAGCGACGGCGGAGUGGGCAUGUAGGAGCGUGUCAAAUCUAAAGAGAGAGAGAGAGUGAGAGAGAAAAGAUGGAAGACGACAUAUCGUAAAAUUGCAUAGUAAAGAAAUUAAAAAUAAGAAGAAUGCGAACACAUUAAUUAUAAAAUAACGGAUAGGAAUGUGAAAAGGUGGCAACACUUCAUAGUAACAAAAUAAAACUUUUGAAAGUGAAACCUAUUCUAAUAUAUAAUUUAAAUAAGAAUAUGAAAAGAUGGAUCAAAAUAAAUUCGUAUACAUUUGAAGGUAUUGACACUAUCAUUAUUUUAUUUAAUUGAAUCCACAAAUAUAAAAAGAAUCAAAGCUAUUUUGUAAAAUAAUUUCUCUUUUUUAUAGUAUGAAUUUUAUAUUCACAAUUCACUCUCGAUGUGUUAAAAAUAAAAUUAUAUUGUUCAUAUAGGGUUGUGGAUUUUAAUUAGGUUUUUUAAAACUUUUUUAAAAAAACCAAAAAUGCCUUUUGCAAUGUUCAUGUCAGUUACCCUGUACUUAAUGCACAAUUAAUAUGUUUCUCAAUAGUAUUAAUUAAGUUAUUUAAUAAAAUCUAAGAUUCAUCAGUUUCAUACAUUUUCUUAAUUUUUUAUUAGCAUUAGUCAUUAGCAUUAACCUAUUCUCCCAAAAUAAGAAGGGCAUGCCAUGUCAGCUCAUGCUAUUGAGCUUUCAUAUAGUUUUAUAGAAGAUAGAUGUGAUCACUAUAAGGAAAUACUCCGUAUUACCCACUUUGAGAAAUGCUCUCUUGAUUUUCAAUUAUUAUAAGGAAUAAAUUCUAUAAAUUGAAAUUACAAGAAAUUUAUAGUCAUAAAGAUUAUAUAAAAUAUGCUAAUAAAAUCUGUAAAAAUAAACGACAUAUUUAUAUAUUUAAAUCAAAGCGUCGUUGAUUGGCUCAAAUCAAAUAAAUUGAAAGAUUAGAUAGUAAAAUAAAAAUUUUGAAAAAUAAAAUAGUCAAAUUCAAAUAUAUUUUUUUCACUAGCACACGUUGGCUUCCGGAGCAGGGUGCUGGUAAGCACUGGGCCUGUUUGGCCUGGCUUCUGAAAAAAUAAUUUUUGCAGAAAUGAUUUUGAUUUGAAGAAUUGAUUUUGGUAAAAAGUUGUACAGUAUGUGUCUGAGUUUAUGUAAAGUAUUUUUUUUGAAGUGAUUUUCUAAAACUAUUUGGCAAAAAAAUUUUGAUACUUACAUAUAUUAAUAUUGUUAUUAAAUUUAUUUUAAAAUAAUUUAAAUUUUAAAUUUUAAAUUAAAUAUUUCAAUUUGAAUUAAAAGUAUACUUUUUAAAUUUCAAAUUGUACAAAAAAUAAAUUGGAAAUUUCAAAAUUUUAAAUUUAAAAUUUGUAUUUUUAAAUCUAAAUUCAAAUUUUUAAUUUUCCAAUUUGAAUUUAAAGUUUUAAUUACAAAUUUAAAAUCUAAAUUUUAAAUUUUAAUUUUAAAAUUUAAAAUUUAAAUUUAAAAUUCAAAAUUAGUUUUGGAGAAGCAGCUUUUUCUGCUUCUAAAAUUCAAAAAUUUUUUGAUACUUGCAUAUAUUAAUAUUGUUAUUAAAUUUAUUUUAAAAUAAUUUAAAAUUUGAAUUUAAAUUAAAUAUUUCAAUUUGAAUUAAAAGUAUACUUUUUAAAUUUCAAAAUUGUACAAAAAAUAAAUUGGAAAUUUCAAAAUUUUAAAUUUAAAAGUUGAAUUUUUAAAUCUAAAUUUAAAUUUUCAAUUUUCCAAUUUGAAUUUAAAUUUAAAAUUUAAAAUUUAAAAAUUGUACAAAAAAUAAAUUGGAAAUUUCAAAAUUUUAAAUUUAAAAGUUGAAUUUUUAAAUCUAAAUUUAAAUUUUCAAUUUUCCAAUUUGAAUUUAAAUUUAAAAUUUAAAAUUUAAAAUUUAAAUUUAAAAUUCAAAAUUAGUUUUGGAGAAGCAGCUUUCUGCUUCUAAUUGUGGAGACUUCAAAAUCAGUUUUCUGAUUCUGAAAAGUAGACUAAAAAUUUUUCAUCUUCCAUCUUCAAAUGCUCUACUAAGCUCAAAAGUGAUUUUAAGUUCAGAAUCACUCCCGAUAAAGUUAAGCCAAAUACCCCCAAAAACUCUCAGUUAUGAUUUACCCAUGGUUAGUAAAUUUACGAAUUAUUUACGAAUUAUUCAUGAAUUUUGAAAAAAAAAUAUGAAUUAAACAGCCGUUUUCGUAUUUUUCCGAAAAAGUCAGAAAAAAAUGCGAUUUUUUAGAGAAAAAUAAUUAUUCAAUAAUUAUUCAAGUGAAUAUUUCGUUCAAAAAAGGCCCUUGGGCCCGCGCCUGGGCCCACGGUCGCGGCAGGGCCUACGCCCGCGCUCGCGUCCGCACUAGGGGUCGCGAGCCACGCGGCUCGCGGGCCUCGCGGGCCUUGUGGCUCGCCCAAAACAGAAAAAAAGAAAAAAAUUCCAAACCUCGCCAAAAAAAAAAAAAUCCUUUUCCAAAACGUUCGCCCUCCUCUUUCCUAAAAAAAAAAUAUAUCAGUCGAUCAAAAAAGUUUAAUCUCUUAUGAACUAUUUUAAUCUUUUAUUUGCUUAAUUAUUUAUUUCUUUUGAGGCAUAAUAUAGUUUUUUUUUUAUACUUAAUUAGCUUAAUUUUGUAGCUCUUUAUUUUUAUAAUUUUAAGAAAUAUGAGUAUUUAUGCUAAUAAUAACAUAAAUCUUGAGAGAAAAAAAAUUAAUUUAAUAGCCGAAUUUUUUAUUCCGAAUUUUUAAUUGGUGAACGUAUAAUGUCCGCAUAAAUUACGUAUCUGAAUAAUUGGCGUAUCUGUUUUUUAGCCAUAUUUUUUAACAAAUUUAAAAAUUAGAAGACGAAUUUUAUCCGAAUUAUAUCCGUACCGAAUUUUUGCAGAGUCCGAAUUAACUAACUAUGAAUUUACCACGGCCUACAUCACACGCCUUCCGCGCACCUGCACCACCUCCAACUAGAAAAUCAGCCUAGUUCCCCUCUUUAGGAAAGAGAGAAGGAAAACUUCGUACGGCCCAUGCACUCAUGUUAUGGUCUAGGCUUACACUCGGAUCCAACCUUGUCUCUGUGCCAUCCAAGGUCCAAACCAGGAUUGGGCUCACCAGGCAAUCUAUGUGUAUACUGAAAAUAAUAACGUUCCUAAGUAAUUUAUAUACUGUGAUGCAUAUAAAUAACGUUCCUUUAUUUGCAGGCCGAAUUUGACUUUGUUUAGAUAUAGAUCGGAGAGGGAAGGAUCUGGUCGGAUUCAGCCCUCAAAAUAUGGUCUUAAGAUUCUCGAGCGGGCUAGCCGAAGCACUAUGCUUUCGGCCUCUCAAAUCUCAGCAAUUGAUUCGGACCGAAAUUGAGCAACAAAAAACUACUGAAGUAAGACAGUUUUCUAAAUGGACUGCACAUAAGGAAAGUACGCAGUAACCGAGCGUCCCUAGAGCAAGUGGCAAAAAAUUUAUUGAUUGGUACCCGAGAUUCAAGUUCGAAUCCUAGUUGAUUCAUAUUUCUAGCUAAGUUUAUUUCUAAAUGAAAUAAAUAAAGCGGGUAACAUGUUAUCUAUCUCUAAGAAAAAAAAGAAAAAGAAAAAAGUAUGCAGUAUGGGAAAGCAUACAUGGUUGAAAAGCAAUGUGAUCCCGCGAUGGUUGGAGUAGUUCGUGGGUGAUUGACGUAAGAUGGAUCUUCAUCGGAUGUGAGCAGCUAUAUUUGAGCUACUCUUAAAUUAAGUUCCGCCUACUAGCUCCUAGUGCAAGAAAAAUAAAGAACAAAAUAUUGGGGUUGACGAUGACGAUCUUCUUUCUUGCAGCCAUUCUUUUUCUUUUUUAGUCUCUGAAUUCGAAUAUUGAGUAGUUAUAAUUAAAGCAAUUUUUAUGAGAUAGUUAGCCUUGUUUCCAAACCGUCUCGUUAUUUUGCAUGCUCAUUGCUCAUUCAACCAUCCAUACCAGAGUGGCACUUUACAAAUAAAAUACGAAGACGUUCAUCUGUAUCUUCAUCCAAUUCCGAAGAAUUAGCCAUUGAGAAAGGCGAAUAUGAAAAUUUUAGAAGAGUUACAUUUGAUAAUCUGAUACACAGUUUCGGCAUGAAAUUUUUUUUUUUUGAGAAAACGCUAUCCGCUUCAUUCUUUCGGCAUGAAAAUUGCACACUCCUAGAUGAAAGCACCAGAGAAAAUACAUAGCCUAGACUAGAUUCCGUGGUAUGAAAAUUCUAAAUGCAUCGAUUACAUAUCAAAGAAACCUCCGGCAAAAAAUUACAUUGUGUGUGUUAGGUUCGAGCUAUUUUUUUAAGAUUUCUAGUAAUUCAAUAAAAAUAAAAAAAAUAUGAUGAUAUUUGGCUAAAUGCACUAAAUAAUCUGGUUAGUAAUAUUAAAUUUACUUGGGAAUGAGAUUCAUGCCAAAAUACUAAUAUCAUUUCUUUGAGGAAUGAUAAAUAUUUUCAUAUUAAUAGAUUGGAAUAAUCAUAAUAUAUCUAAUAUUUUUUUUUUCCCACCCGCUGAUUAAUUGGUAUUGUUUUUCUUUACACUCUAACAUCAUAUCUCUUUCUAAACUUAUCUUUCUCUCUCUAAACUUCAACUCUUUUUCUCUUUCUAAACUAAAGCUCUCUCUCUCCCACUCUUUUGCUAAAAUAUCAACUCUCUCACUCCCUCCAACCUAGACUUCAUCUCUCUUUUUAUUUUUUUAAUUAUGCUCUUUCUCUAAUCUAUAUUCUCUCUCCCUUCUUUUAGAAAAAAUAUUGAUAGAAAAUAUUGAAAUUUUUAAUAACAUUAUCUAAAAUUAAUUAACCAAAUAAAUAUAUUGAGUAUAUAUUUUUUGUAAUUUUAAAUAAUAUGACUAUUCGAAUCAAACGCCGUAAUGCCACAUUUUUAAUAAUAGAAUAAGUAGAAAUAAAAGCAUGGGACAUCUUUUUAUUCAUAAUAAUUUUCAUAGUGCGAACCAAACACGCCCGUACAAUAAUUUCACAUACUACUAUACUAGGCAUUCCAUUGAUAUUAGUUCAGCUGCAGCAUAAGAAACGUUAUUCUCCAACUACGGCAGCAAUGUAACAAACUCAGACAAAUCCUGGAACCAGACCUUUAAGCGAAGAAUAAAAUUGAGUGAACAACUGGAUAUGCAACUUUCGUCCACUAUUAAAGAACUUGGCGAAUAGCUAUAUUUCGAAUGAUGCAAUUUACAAGUAUGUUGCAUUAUGUAUCUAAUGCCUCACUAUACUGAAACUAGAUGCGGAUGAUGGAGGCGUUGGUGUUGUCGACAUCUUCGCAGUAGUAGAGCUCCACAAAAGUGCCCCCUCCAAUACCCUUUGCGAGUCUCCCUGGGUUCACGCACAUACACCUUUUCUCCUCUUCAUUUCCUUCUCUGACGGACAACAACUGCGUAACCAAAAAGUGCCUUUAACAAAGUAUUUUAAGAGAGAAGUUUCAAGCAAUUUGAUCACUGAUUUUGCAGGACAGUAUAAGCUGUUGAACUUUUGGAUGGAGUCGGUCUCAUGAAGUUAAUUUAGCCUCAAUAAAGUAACUUAGCCCCUGAAACAUUUGAACACUUUACUCCUUGAACUUUCUCAUAUAUUGCAAUUCCAUUCCUAGCUGCCAAGAGAAUCUGAUAUCACAGAACUUUUUACCGUAAAAUAACAUUCCUGACCCAAUUUCAAGUGCACUGACACAAGAAAGCCUUUUUACAAGAACAGUGUGGUCAUUUCAUAGGAAAAACUUGUAACUUUGCUUUUAAUGGUGAAGGACGGAAUUGCAAUAUGUGAAAAAGUUUACACGCUAAAGUUCAAAGGACCAAGAAGCAAUAUUGGGAUGGUGAAGGGACUAUCAAAAGAUUUUACCAAAGAAAGGGAGAAAAAAAAAAUUCAGAAUGCAAACUAUGCAACUACAGCAAAUGUUUUUGCGAGAGGAAGGAUUAUAUCAUGUUGACUACAUACAAGCAAGAUUUAACCAUUAAUACCUUGAUGAAGGGAGCAAGAUCAGAAGGAAGGAGAAGAACAUCUGGAGAAGGUAGGAUCUCAAGUGCUUCCGGUGCAAGUGAGAAAUCCAAAGGAACACCAACAGCAGGCGGAUAUAGAGGAUAGUAGCUAGCGAGUCGUGAAGUAGUGAGCAAGUCAGAAUCCUAACACAAAAAAUGAACAAUCAUUUGACAAAAUUUCAUUAUUAAAAUUACCUGCGUUGUCUCAAUAGGUGUGUCGCCAGUCGCCCCAUCCUGUCAGCGGACUGCAUAUCAGGUGGGUUAUGAGAGAUCUCUUCACUGCUUAGCUGUUUCAGGAUAUCCACGGUACAACAGCUAAACAUGACCUGGAACAGAACAUUAAAUCAGCACUAUGACAAAAGAGGAUGCCGAGUCCAAAUAACGACAAUAAAUCAAAAGGCAGUGCAUAAACAUAUAGGGAGAUCAGAGUCUAAAAUUGGAUUUGCUGCAGCUGUAUAUUGCUUUGUUUGUAAGAAUAGCAUAAUAGAAUUUCUUGGAAUAAUUCGAUAAACAUGUCAUUUGUAUAGCUACCUGUGUAAAUAAACUAUGAUUCAGUCAUCAAAUAAAUAUAUUCUUUCUAAUAUACCUAAAAGAAAGAUCAAUUAGGGACAACAUUGAUUGAUGGGAUGUUGAUUGUUUUAUCAUGUCACGAGUAUAUAAUGAAUUCUGCUCAAAUGAAUAUCUAGCACAUGUAGAUAAAAAUAAUAAUCACUUGCGUAGUUACAAAAUUUUGUACCUCGUUAGAGCUGAAGAGGCUUGGAUUUGCAACACAAGUUAUCUGCAUAUGAAAAAUGAUAAAAGUAAGACUGUAAAAAGAGUAGCUGGAAGAGCAAAGGACAAUAUUUUAUGCACUGAUCUAAUAGUACGCUCAGAUAUAGCAAUAAGCAAGGAAGGGUACCUGCUGUGUGCUAUCUUCUGGCAGAUUAAUAUCAAAUGCAGGCUGCAGAAAAGAAUUUGAAUACAAAUAAAUCAUAGAUAGAUUACAAAAACUUAAGAAUGAAAAAAAAGAGGGAACUGCUUGACUACGAGAAGCUGUAGCAUGCUGGUGAUAUGCAACAUCUAUAUCAUUUUCUAACUAAACUCACUUGCCUAAGAACUCCAGCCUACCUUAUUUGCAACUUAGGUAACCAAGGGACCAUACACGUCCAUCUAUUUGGCCAAUUGCACGACGGGUGCACAUAGCAUAUAUUGUGCAGCCUAUUGAUUUUUACAACAUAUAUAUAUAUAUAUAUAUAUAUAUAUCCCGACAUACAUAGCAACAUAACAACUAUAGAAGUGAUUUAUGGUAUGCUAAGAUUGAUCGUCAUCUUCCAUGUUGUUCCCAAAAAUGGAAUCAACAUAGGCCUUAGGAUUUGGGCCUUUGGCUCAUUCAGUAGAACUUGAAUUGAAUUCCAGCUUAAUUCCAAAGAUUCUUGCACCGACUAGAAAACAAGAUUCAAUGAGAUGCUACAAUGUAGGAAAUUAGGGAAUUUAUCAUCAUGUGGCCAUUGCUACUUGGGCAAGAAUUUUUGCAACAUAAUGAAAUUUGAUGAAAUUAUGAUUGUAAAGAUAAACCGCAUUUGCACUACAUGCCUCAAAGUCCACUAAACAGCAAAGGGACUUGAGCUGCCAGGCUUAUACCUGAGGGAAAACGAAGUCAUGGUUAGCAUCGCGUAUAGAUGGAACAAGGAUCACACGGACACCAGGGCCCAUAUACUCAUUGUAGUCUUGCAACUGCAUCAAAGAAUACAGAACUAUAGAAAUUUCUUAAUCAUAUUAAAUUGGAAGCAUGACCAAUAUACUGUGACCAACCCGUCGAAGAAUUUCAAGAUGGAAAAUGUCACCGAAGCUCUGGUCAGCAGUUCCUUUUUUAAUAUCCGGAUGAUCAGAAUCAACAAACGGUCCCAUCUGCCAAAGCAAUUGAAACAAUACAAAGAACCAUUGAAGCUUUCUUAGUAUAUAACACAUGAUGAGGUUUCAGAAAUUCCAAAAGUAUGCUUGAGCUCACCAAGAUAAGCAGCUGAGGCUGUUUCCUACGAGCGUAUGCUAGCAGUUCUUGUAGUGGCUCGAACAACAAGUUAUCAUUUGUAGUGAACGGACCUGCUGCAAUAACCUAUAAAAAAUCCAAGGUUCCCAGAUUAAAAGAAAUGGGCAACUAACAAACCAAAAGUUAAACUAGGCUUCAUGCGGACACAAUACUGUCGACAAUUUAGACAUGAAGGAUAGCUGAAAAAUGCUGACAUUAAGAAUAAGAAAUACAUACUACUGAUAGCACUUUCGACUCAGAGGAAGAACUCAGCCGAGCUUCCUGAUUCACCGCAGGCUUCUUUGCAGGAGGCAAAUCGGCAUCACUGGAGCUGGUUAAAUAAUCAACCACUUUUGAUGCAAUCAAACAAUGUCCACUUGGAUUAUUUCCUUCAAUACCAAUCACCUGGUAUUCCACAAAUGUGCAUUAAAUCAAGAAUAAGGCUAAUAUACAAGCACUCGUGUCAUGAACAUUUAAUUCAUAUGGUGUACCUGACCAGGAAACAAGGAAAAAUGGGUCAGAUUACUGAGAUCAAGACGAACACGCUGUCCCCCAGAAUGCUCGACACUAUCAGCAAAACAUCCGCAGUUAGAUAAAAGUUCAAGCGAUUAGUAAAGAACAGCUAUAAAAAUUAACUGAACAGAAACUUUACUACAAAUAAUAGGCGUGAGAGAAGUAUUUCUACCUGCCUUGCAGUAAAAUGGACUUCUCGUUUAAAUGACCUUCUCCAUCACAAAUGAUCAGACCAACGGCAAAUAUGUUUUUCUGAACAGGAGUGUCAUUUAAGCCUUUAUUUUUUUACGUAGUAGAAAAGCAUAGUCCUAAUCACACAUUAUGUUAAUUUCCUAAAUCAACUUUCUACAAGCACCAAGUAGGAACGAAUUCUAAAUGCAUAACAAGCAAUUACCUGUGAAGCCAAUGUAGCAUCUGCAAGUUCUCCAUAAAGUCCAGAUGCGGCAAACAAGUUCGAAAACUUUCUAAUCCGAUUUUCUAGUGAAUUAAACUAAAAAAAGAGGAAAUUUUUUAACACAAAUCAACAUAUAUCAAACAUCAAGAAAUGUAAUGCAGGGCAAUGCUGCUUACCCUAUCUUCUAUUCUGUCGUACAUGAACCUACAACCUGGUUCUGGCUGCGAAAGAUGAACUUGCAAAGAGCAUCUUGGGCCAGGCUGAACUCUUCUAAUUAAAUCAUCUUCAAUAUCUUCUACCUCCUGCCGACUUGAUCCAUCAACCAUAUUAUGAGCAUUGAAAACAAAUUGUGAGGUAAAUUUGUUAAUUCGCUGCCCAAAAGGGGUUAUGCGAGUGCUAUUGGCUUUUGACUCUUUGCUUGAUGAAGGUUUUUCAUUUGCCCUAGGUGUUGAUGCUGAAUUCUCCACAUAUGGCCUUUCGUACUUACUUGGGGUGUCAAGAAAGCUCUCUUCGCGAUCAUCAGGUUCACUAUUUAAAAGCCUGCAAAAGUUAAUUUGCAGGAGAAUACUAUGGUCACUGAAAUUACAUAUCAUGCCUGGAUUACGAAUUAUUCACCAUUAACUCACAUUUCAACAUCGUUGCUGGAGUAAAUAUGCAGGUGAGGUUCCUCUUUGAUAAGUUUCUCCUUCACCUCAUUUUGAAGAUGUGAUAAGAACCCAUCCAUGUGACUAUUUUCUAGCUUCAAUCCAUUUAAUUGCCUGAACAAAAUGCACUGUAUCAACUACCAAACCAACCAACAUCUAAAAAGGCUUGAAAGAUAUACUAGGUACAAAAAAAAAAGAGAAAUUUCACAGUGAGCUAGGAUAAUAAAGGAAUUCUUCAGAGUAACCACUUCUAUAUGUUUUGAAAUUACGUGAUUUUAGUCAAAUAUAUAGAAGAUUUUAAAUUCAGCAAUAAUUCCAUAGAAUAUAGUGAUUUUAUCACUUUUUAGCAAAUAAACUGACACGAUGAACGAUUAUAGCUAAUAGAACAGUUAAAUUCAACAAAAAUUUCAACUUAACGAACUAAAGUUGAGGAGUUUCGAUACAUAUUACCAAAAAAAUAAAUAAAUAAAUAAAUAAAAGCUCAUGAAUGCUUCCAUCUUACCGGUUGAGGUAGUAAAUUUCCCAGUUGGAAACGAGAUCCGAAGGGGUGAGCUUGUAAUUGAUGCAAUAGGUCAACACUGAUAGAGAAAAAGACAAGGAUCGAAGGAUUAGGGUAUCGUUAAUGAUAAACGGGGGCAUAGAGAAAGAGAAAAAAAAGGGGCAUACAUCGAUCGAGGAUGUGAUCGUCUUGGUCGAUGGAGAAUCCGCUCUUCUCGAACUCGGCUUUGAUGGCCUCUUCCAUGGCGAUGGAUUAGGGUUUUGGAGGGGCACGUAGGGGAGACCGAGGGAGAGAGGAGAAGAGAGGAGCGAGGAGACGGGGAGAGGAGGAGGAGGAGGAGGAAGAGAAGGGCGGCGCGAAGAUGAAAAAUGGCGGGAAAGUUGUCGACGAGCUCGGGACGCUUCGCGCCAUCUGACCACCGGACAACUUUUGCCUCGAGAUUCGUGUCGGCACACAUUACACAUAUGCCAGGUAUUGGACAUCUUAUUUUUUUUAAAUAAAAAUUUUAUUUAAAACAGUGCAGGAGUAAAGAUGUCCAUGGACCGGGUCGGGUCUGGAUAAUUAAUAUACUGUAUCCAUACCCUAAAAAGAAAUUGUUACAAAAAAAUAUAUAUACCCUACCCAUUUAACUUCGGGUCGGGUCCGGAUCUGGGUACUAAAGUUACUAAUAUACCCAUCGAGUCUAUUUGAGCGGAUCUGGGUAAUGACUUCUUGUAUACUACCCGUUCAAGACUGGAUAUAGAUCGGAUCUAGAUCAAGUACGGAUAUCCGUAUAAAUAUAUUUUUUUUAUAAACUUUAUUAAAUAGUCAAUAGACAAACUAUAAAGCCCACCAUAAAAAAACUCGCAUUCUAAUAAGUUGAACCGUCCAAUAAAAUUCAUUCAAAAGAAAUAUUGUCGCUGAUGAUGAUGAUGACACUGAUGAUGAUGAUGACAAUGAAAUAUUGUUGGCGGAAAUGAAAUGAAAAAAAAGAAGUAGAAAACAAAGAGUAAAAAAAUUAGAAAAAAGUAAUGAGUAAAAGAGACGGCUAGGGUUUCAUUAGGAUGAAAAUAUGUAGUGACUCAUCAUUUAUAAGUCAUAUUGAAAUUGAUCCUUCAACUUCAAAAGUUUAUUUUUUUUAUUUGCUAUUGGAUAUUUCAUCGGGUCCGGGUCCGGAUCCGGAUUUGAAAACUAUUCCGGACCGUACCCAUUUAAAAGUUAGGUUCGGGUCGGGUCCAAAUCGGGUAUGGAUAUAAAAUAUCCCGGCCCAUACCCGAAACUUUAAUGGGUAAUUUUUUUUAUCCGUAUACUAUUCAUUUUUUAUCGGGUCCGGUUCGGGUCCAGGUAGGGUCCGGGUCGGGUAUGGGGUAUCGAAUAUUUUGGACACCUUUAUGCAGGAGUUCACAAUAAAUUGCCAGCAAUCUGGUUAUUCAAAAUAUUUAUUUAACAAUAAAAAUAAAUAAGUAAAUUUUCUUGUUAUCAUUUAGUACUUUAGCAGAAUGUAUAGCAAAACUAAUUAAUCAUGAUAAAAAAUAAUUCCUAUCAAUAUAAUUUAUACUAGAGAUGAUGCCAAAUGGUGUCUUAGUUUUUGUUAUAUAUUUAAAAAAAAAAAAUUAUUGCUUCAUCAUUAAUAUUUUGUUCUUCACCCGUCUCGUAUUUUAGUGUACCUGUCAAAAUUUUUAAUUAAUAAAAAAUUGUAACUAAUUCAGUUAGUAAAAUGUAAAUUAUAUAAAAUGAUAGUGAGACUGUGACAGUCGAUGAAUAGUUGGUGCAUCUGGCCCUUUUGAGAGUAGAGCCUUUUAGUGAGUCACGGCCCAUCCCAUAACCAUUAAUAGGCCUCCAUUUUAGUCCAUUUCAUUACUGAGCCUAAUUUGUUAUUCCCAACCCAUUAUUGGCCCUCUAUUGGGGCAAUAGCUUUUGCCACACUCCCACCAAGGGAUGUCAAUGGGCAGGGUUGCAGCCCAGCAUAGAUGCCGAAGCAUCCGUAUUGGCCCGACCCGACCCGAUAUUUUGGGCUGUCCGGAGCCUCUUUUUGGCCCAACUAUCCAGAACGGCUCGACCCAAUAUAGGCUUGGGGCGUACCUGGCCUUCGCACGGGACGGCCCACUUCGGCCGUGCGAGCCGAGCUACCAUGGCCUGGGCACUAAACGGCUUGUUGGUUCAUCCAUUUUGGAUAUGGAAUGGAAAUCGGUUUGAUCAAAUCCGGUUAAUUUUGUUUGGUUCGCAUGAAUCGGUUUGGGAUUCCUAUUCCGGACUGGAAUGGGAAUGACACAUUAGCCUUCAACUUGAUUCUGGUCUUCUAACCCGGAUUGAGAUUUCAUUCUGAAAACCCACUAAAUUCUCGAAGCCCAUGUGACCAUCUCACUCUCCUUCUCUUCACUCCUUUCUCAUCAAAAAAAAAAAAAAAACAUAUCCUCUCUUAAAACUCUAUUCCUAACCCACAUCAAUAAAAGUUUUUAAAAAUAAAUUUGAUAUUUUUUUUGGAAAACUUAUUAGAGAAUAGUAUUAUAUUUUCAUAUCCAAAAUGGAUGAGCCAAACAAGCCCUAAAAUGGAUUAGGGUUUCAAACCGAUUCCCAUUUCAUACCCAAAAUGGAUGAACCAAAUAAGCCCUAAAAGUUUUUAAAAAUAAAUUUGAUAUUUUUUUUGGAAAACUUAUUAGAGAAUAGUAUUAUAUUUUUCAUAAAAUUUAAAUAAUAUAAAUUUAUAUUUGAGAGUAAAAUUAGUGUUAUAGUAUCCUAUAAUUUUUUUAGUGUAUACGAACCGAACAAUGAAAUGUAAAUAACUCAUUCCAAUUCCUAAUCCACAAAUAAACCAAACGUUUUGGGGGAGUGGGCCAUUCCAAUUACCAUUCCAAUUCAUUCUCAUUCCAUUAUCCAUUCCAAUUCUACCCUUGAACCAAACAAGCCCUAAGGCCCAAGGCAACUUGCCUUAGGUUUUGGGGUCAGAGCUCCUGAGCCCUUCUUUCCAGGAGCUCUCCUCCUGAAGUUUGCAGGGAGGAGGGGUUUUGGUCCAAUGGAUCAAACUCUCAAUUCAUUUUUUUUUUUAGUAAUAAAAUAUUAUCAAUUAUAUAUUUUUUUAAAAUUUUUUUUAAAAAUUAUUACUUUGUAAUUAUUUUAUAAAUUUUAAUUUUUAAAUUAAAAUAUAGAUUUAAAUAAAAAUAAAUUAUUAAUCAUACUUUUUAAUUUAUAUUUUUUUAAAAAAAAUUAAAAAUAAAAACUUUAAGGGCGAGCCAAGCCCGGCCCGACCCGUGCCUUCCUGGCCGAGGGGCCGUGAUGGGCCGGAGGGUUGGUUAGCGCUGGCCCGUACCUCCCGGCCUGGAUUUGAAUCCGGGCCGGACUGACAACUUCGGCCCGGAUAAUAUGGGCCGCGCUGGCCCGGCACGGCCACCGACCGCGUUCCAGAACCUUCGACGGGUCCUGCAGCGAACCCCCAUUUCGUCGUCCUCAUAAAACCCCUACCCUCCCCUUAUCUUUUCUCUUCGCAUCCGCUCCUUCGACACCCUCCGUUUCGCCUCCGCCUCCUCCCCCUCUUCUCUCUCCCCAUCCAUUCUAGGGUUUUGAGGAAGGUGUGCGUACAAAUGGCGUCUUCGUCCGCCCAAAUCCACGCUCUCGGCUCCUCCGCCGCCCCUUCCUUCCCCUCCUCUUCGAGGGCGAAGAGCGUCUCCUCCUCGAGCUCCCUCUUCUUCGGCUCCCGCCGCGCCCAUGGCGUCAUCGGAGCUCCGCUCCGCCUUAGGACCGCGGCGGGGAGGGGAGCCCGGCGCUCCGCCGCCGCGGCCCCCCUCCGCGUGGUGUGCGAGAAGGUGGUGGGGAUCGACCUCGGCACCACCAACUCUGCGGUGGCGGCGAUGGAGGGGGGGAAGCCGACGAUCGUGACGAACGCCGAGGGGCAGCGGACGACGCCCUCCGUCGUGGCGUACACGAAGAACGGCGACCGCCUCGUGGGCCAGAUCGCGAAGCGCCAGGCGGUGGUAAACCCGGAGAACACCUUCUUCUCCGUGAAGCGCUUCAUCGGGAGGAAGAUGUCGGAGGUCGACGAGGAGUCGAAGCAGGUGUCCUACAAGGUCGUCAGGGACGAGAACGGGAACGUGAAGCUCGAGUGCCCCGCCAUCGGGAAGCAGUUCGCCGCUGAAGAGAUCUCGGCACAGGUCUUUUCCUUGAAUCUUUGAUGGCUCUUUCAUUAUAUUGUGUUUAUCUACCAGUGCACGUGUAAAGUAGCUUAGUUACUUCUCAAAAGCAUAGUAGCUAGGAAUGUCACUUCGAGGCUAAAUGGACUCGCUACUUGAUGUUUUAGUUUUUUCGUAUUGCUAUCUGUCAUUCUUGCUUUCAUGGAUCGACUUCUCUCUUCCCAGAUGUAUACUCAAAAUUUACUAGUUCUCCCCUUAUUAGAGUAGUAAAUCAGAAGGCAUAAUCCAAUUCUCAUUAGUUCUUCGCUAUGUUUGCUUAGUCUGGUAGUAUUUGUUUGCCUGAGUGAAUUUAAUGUUAGCUUCCACUCAAAAGUGAGCAAACCAUCCUUGAAAACUUCUUUUCUUUAUAUUUGUUGUUCUGCUGCUUCUAAAGUUGCAUUCUUUUGCUUCUUAGAACAGAUUUUGGUAGGGGCGUAGGGCAUUUCAAUCGGUAAUAUUAACCGGCCUUCUCUGGUUUCUGCGUUACUUCAACAUGAUUUUGGUUUAUAUUUCCUUUUAAAAGUACAAGAUGCAGUGGCUUCAGCUCUUAACAACAUUUAAUGUUUAACUUUGUUCUAUAAUGUAUAACUUUUCACCUUGGAAGCUUUAAAUGUAAAUGUGCAAGUUUGAAUUGCAUUACUGUAUCCUUCUUUCUUACACAACUUCAAUUGAGAUCAGAAACUAUUUGUCCAAAAUUUGCUGACACCAAAACAUUUAAAUUGUUCCACUUUGAUUAGUCACUUGCAAAAAUUUAACUAUGGUCUUGGCUGAUUAUUAUUAAAGAUCUAAUAUGGUAAAUUACUAGUCGAUUAAGAAGUUGGAAAAUUACUGUGGAAAUAUUUUUGUGAAUAUUAAGUAUUGCUUACAUAAAGGAUUUUGAGCAUUUAACCACGUCUUUAUUUUUCCAGGUUCUGAGGAAACUUGUUGAUGACGCUUCCAAGUUCUUAAAUGAUAAGGUUACCAAAGCAGUAGUCACAGUUCCUGCCUAUUUCAAUGACUCUCAGAGGACCGCAACAAAAGAUGCUGGUCGUAUUGCUGGAUUGGAAGUUCUUCGUAUCAUAAACGAGCCAACUGCAGCAUCAUUGGCUUAUGGAUUUGAAAAGAAGAACAAUGAAACGAUUUUAGUGUUUGACUUGGGAGGUGGCACCUUCGAUGUCUCAGGUAUAGAAGCUUGUCUAAGUUUAAAUACUGCCUAAUCCCUCACUUAGAAGAUCCUUUUAAGUCUAUCUGAAAAAUGGAUUGCCUGCUAACGAAGGAUAGCAAAUUGUGAUCACAAUACACAAUCUUUGUUGUGCAAAUCAAACAGUGAAAACUAUGUAAACUCAGUUUUUGUUGCUUUCAACUAGUAAAGUUCGUAAAAACUAAAAGGUUAGAGAUUGAUUGCUGCAAUAGUGAAAUGACUUGAUUGAAGAGGUGGCUUAUUGGUUGGAUAUCUAUUUGAGUUACAAAUUUAAACUUAAAUUUGAAGCUAAUCUACAUUUGAAGCAUCUACAUUUGAAGUGUUUAAUCUCAUUAUCUUUCUGUGUGUGUUGUCCACAAUCCCAUGUUAAGGUCCUCCAAGUAUCAAGAGCCUCUUUGCGGGCAAAUAAACUAUUUGCUUGCAUGGAUGCCACAUAUAUGUCUAUUUAUAAGUGAAUUUUCAAGUAGAUUCACCAUCGGUUCCUUUAGAUUGGAAUUUAAAAAAUUCUUAUCUCAGAUUUGGGUUUAUUAAAGACUUAUCUUUGGCAAUUAUACUAACCCAUCAUAUGAUUUCUUGAGCAUCAACUUUACAUUAUCAUAUGUAGUAGAAUGCUGCAGCGAAAUAAUGCAGGCAGCAUGCUUGCUUCAGCAAAGGAGCUCACGAUUGUGGUCUACCUUUAUGUAUGUAAUAUUAGCAUUUGUUUGUAAUUAUAGUAAUAACCAUGAUAUUAUGCUGUAGUUCUUGAGGUUGGAGAUGGUGUUUUUGAGGUGCUCUCUACAUCAGGUGACACUCAUCUUGGUGGUGAUGACUUUGACAAGGUUGGUCACUUCUUUUUCUCUAUGACACUAGCAUGGCAUAUGCUGAAGUAUUUGUUUGGUUUAGUGCUUUAUGACCAUCUUGUUCAUUUAUGGAGGAUAUAUGAAUGGCUAUGUGACGUUUUUGCCAUUGCAAAACGGAAGUUACUUGUUGUGAUGCAUGCGAAUAUGAAAUAUGGCCGGGAAUCGAUGAUCUAGCUAGCUUGCUUGGCAAGCUUAAACAAGUUGUACAGGUUUUACUUUCAAUAAUCAAUUCCUGCAACUCGAUGACCAUUGACAUCCAGCUUGUGUUGCUACAUGAUCAGAAUCAUUCUGAAAUAUGACGCUUGCUGCUUAUCUAGUGUUUUCUUUUUCUUUUUCCUAGGUGUGUUAUGCUACAUACUUGAGGACAUUCUUUGAACGCAGAUAUGCCUACACUGCGUAGAUGUUGUGCCUAACGAAAUGAACCUGCAUGAGCCUAACUGCCCAAGCGCAUGCUUUGGGCACACAUAUACACUCUGGGCACGCAUAUACACUCAUAUGCUCCAAUAUCAAGUUCAAAAUCAUAAUUAAUUUUUCUCCAUCUUGAGCAGAGAAUUGUAGACUGGCUUGCUGCCGACUUUAAGAGGGAUGAAGGCAUUGAUCUUUUGAAAGAUAAGCAAGCCCUCCAGCGACUCACUGAGACUGCAGAGAAGGCCAAAAUGGAGUUGUCAUCGUUGACUCAGACUAACAUUAGGUUAGCUUCUUCAGUUUUCAUGUUUCAAUUCGCUUUUAAUGUUCUCUUUCUAUAUUUCCUUUUCUAAAUCCGUUCUAAUUGCUCUUCAACAGCUUACCAUUUAUUACUGCCACUGCUGAUGGGCCAAAACAUAUUGAGACAACCCUCACGAGGGCCAAAUUCGAGGAGUUGUGUUCGGACCUCCUUGAUAGGUAUUUUCUAAUAUUUUGUAGUAAUUCUGCUGUAUGAAUGGUAGAGAACCUUUUUUCUUUGGUUUUUAAUUCCAACAAUUGCUCUCUGUUACCUUCUAGUACUGCUGUAAACGUUAUUCAUUUUUUGUGCUAGUUUUAUUUCAAAUUGCAUGCAAGUCUUACAUGAUGCCUCCCAAACAAUAUCUACUCUAAUUAGUGGCAUGCUUGUUAUUUCGAUGUCUCCGUUGCUCAUUUGCUGCCAUCAUCAAUUAGGCUGAAGACACCUGUGGACAAUUCUCUGAAAGAUGCAAAGCUGUCAUUCAAGGAUUUAGAUGAGGUAAUUCUUGUUGGGGGCUCAACUCGAAUUCCAGCAGUACAGGCGCUUGUGAGAAAAAUGACGGGAAAGGAGCCUAACGUUACUGUGAACCCCGAUGAGGUUGUUGCUCUUGGGGCAGCUGUUCAGGUCAGUGGUUGAGGUGUCCCGUCUCAUCUCUCAUAUUUUGCUCACUGUAUUGAGGUCAUUUCUUCAUCUCUGACCUUUUAUUUUAUUUGUUUCCCUACUCACCUUCAGGCAGGAGUUUUGGGUGGAGAGGUGAGUGACAUUGUCCUUCUCGACGUCACCCCACUCUCUCUUGGUCUGGAGACGCUAGGUGGGGUUAUGACGAAGAUCAUCCCUAGGAAUACAACCCUGCCCACUUCGAAAUCGGAAGUAUUCUCCACUGCAGCUGAUGGGCAGACGAGUGUGGAGAUCAACGUCCUUCAGGGCGAGAGAGAGUUUGUGAGGGACAACAAAUCUAUUGGAAGCUUCCGGCUUGAUGGGAUCCCUCCGGCACCACGUGGCGUCCCACAGAUUGAAGUCAAGUUUGAUAUCGAUGCCAAUGGUAUUCUCUCUGUUACUGCUGUGGAUAAGGGCACCGGGAAGAAGCAGGACAUUACUAUUACCGGCGCCAGCACCUUGCCCACCGAUGAGGUACAUCACCUGAAUACACUAUUGCUCGAAAUCGAAGCUCUUUUGCGUCUCUAUAUUUGUAUUAUCUGUAUUGCUAGCAUAUCGCAUCUGCACCUUAUAGCUCAUUAGAUCUGUUUGAUCAUUACAUUUUAGUCUGUGAAGAGAUAUCUAUGCAAGAGCAUUUAUCCUAACUAAUUAUAAAUGUUCAGGUGGAGAGGAUGGUGAAAGAAGCCGAGAAGUUUGCCAAGGAGGACAAGGAGAAGCGAGAUGCCAUCGACACCAAGAACCAAGCAGAAUCGGUUGUUUACCAAACCGAGAAGCAAUUGAAGGAGCUCGGAGACAAAGUCCCCGCUGCGGUGAAAGAGAAGGUGGAGGCGAAGCUCAACGAGCUCAAGGACGUCAUCGCAGGUGGAUCGACGCAAGGAAUGAAGGACGCGAUGGCCGCUCUAAACCAGGAGGUCAUGCAGCUGGGCCAAUCCCUAUAUAAUCAGCCCGGCAGUGGACCCACGGCCGGAGCCGGGGCCGCCUCUGGGGGUGGGGCAGAUGCCGGGCCUACGGGCUCCGCAGGCAAGGGGUCCGACAAUGGGGAUGUUAUUGACGCUGAUUUUUCCGACAGCAAAUGAUGAUAAUCGGCAUCUGGGGGAAUCAUAAUAAGAUUUGAGUUAGAGUAGGAAGUAAAUUCUUUUUUCUCCCUCACAUUUAAUAUAUUAGGACAUGGAUGGGUAAGCUAGGUAUUUCACAUGAGUGAUAUUUAAAAGAAAGGAUAGCUCUUUACUAUAUCUAAAGCUUUUGCAAAGAAAUUUGUUCUAUUUGAAAAAAUUUUGUGGAUUGAAUCUAUGUUGAGAUGUAAUAGAAGUUUUCUUUCCCACGUGAAGGGCCUCUUUUAAUAUGUUUAAGGCUCAUUUCCAUUUGAAGUCGUAUUUACAUUCUAGUAACCUAGUUGGUAAACUACAUUUUUUCCAACCUAUAAAUCGGAAUUUUGGUUGGGAUAUCUCAUUUACUAUCGUGGACGAUGCAUCUGAAAGGGCUAAGAUCGAUUUCAGAGCGUCAAAUUAAACUAAGUUAACAAAAAAAACCAAAAAAUCUUACAAGUAGGGUCUUUGUAUUAAAAAUCAUGAGCUCUGAAAGCCAAUGGUAAAAUAAUUAUUUUAUUCAUGAUAUAAAUUUAAUAACUCUUAGUACAUGGAUUUUUUAAAUAUUGUAAAAUAUGUUUAGUUACAUUUUAAUUAUGAAGCUUUCUGUAAUUGAAUUUUACGGGUGCAGUGUAUGAAUGCUCAUGCACUGAUGAUGAAUCAGAGAGAGUUCCAAACAUAAAAUCUCCCACUUCUACUGGACAUGAAAAGAGACGAAGCUUAAAUAUAAUUCAAUUCAAUUCGCCCAAAACUAAAAAUAUUCUGCCCGCUUUUAAAAGAGCAAUACCAAAUGCACAUCCUUUACAAAACCAAAAGAGAAAAAGAAGUGCACAUUAAGAUUUGGAAAAGGUGAAGGAAUACUUGGGAUGAUCUCCCAAAAACACAAGAAAACAUGGCAAUCAAAGUAUAUUGACAUUAAUUAUAUAGGCCCCUAACUCAAAUCUAUAUUACUGAUGGCAGAAAUAGUUUAAACAGCUACAAGAAAAGCUCCCAGAUCACAUUAUUCUCUUUUAGCAUACAGCAUGCAAAUAAAAUUUCAGAGACCUCUGACAUCUUUAAUCGACAAAUUCCAUAGCAUGAUUCAAAGAGAGGAUUCAAAGAGAGGGAAGGAGAAAAAAGGAAAAGAGGCCCAAAAUGCAGUUACUCCUGCUUCAGAAUCAGUUCUUGGCCCUGACGGCAUUAUUUUCCUUUAUCCGUGCACGGUUAUCCAGCUUCACGAAGCGCUUAAGGUCUUCAAAAGGGAGAGUCUCUGUAUCUUUUCUCCGUAGUUCACUUAAGAGAGGGCGCUUAUCCAGUAAAUGCCACAGCCAAUCAGGAUAGUCGGAAUCAGGCGAUAUCUUGGGAUCCGCACCAUCCUUGAGGAUAUUUGCUCCGAACACCGUAGUGCUCUUAAGCUCUUUGCUGAGAGCUGAAGCUUUGGGGGCAUCGGCUGCACCACCUUUACCACCCUUCUUUGCCUUACCACCGCCAGCUGCUGAAUAACCUCUGGUUAUCGCCAAUUGAGCUGCCUCCUUUCUGAUAGAGGCAAGCCUCAGUUUUCUUAUGCCAAUUGUUGCCAUAAUUAGAUACCUAAUACUGCAUUUAAAAUCCAAGAAAAAGAACGAAAUUAUCAUAAAAAAGAGGAAACACCAAUAGAAUACGCAUGUUCCUGCAAGAAAGAGCAACAGCUGCUACCAAUGCUUGGAUUCCAUGACAGAAGCUAAAAAUUCCACCAAUGUUGCUAAAAAGCUAAUCACUUAGAAGGCACAAGAUAUCCUAUUAUCACAGUUUGUAAUAUUCUGAUAAUCCUCCAUAUUUUCUAUUGAAAAUAAAUUCAAUUCGUUACCAUUCAACUCAAGUUGAAUAGUUAUAAAAGAAGUAGGUGAAGUAGUGAAAUCAUUGUAAAUUUUUAAGUGAUAGAAAUGCUAAAUUAUUAUGAAUUAGGAGGUACUCUUAUUUCAUACUUCAAUAGAAAUCAUUAGCAGUCCAUUAAUAAGAAUAUACUAGUUUUUAACAACCUCCCAACUCAAAUGGCAUGCCAAAUUAGUAACAAAUUUGUCAUUCCUAAUAUAAAAUACAUAAUAUUCCCAAAAUAUUACAAACCUUGAACCAAACGCCCCUAAAGGAAGAAACACUAAGUUUUAGUUGUAAUCUACCAAGGAUUAUUACAUUGUCAGCAAAAUAAGCUUUCCAAAGAAAAGCUAACUGUGAUACUAAAGAAUAACCCUAAUAUAAAGAUUAUAAGUCACAUUCUCCAGACAAGCAUUCCCAAAUAGGAGAUCUACAGUGAAGCAAUACAAAGCAUUCGACUUAAAACAAUUGCCUUAAAUUGGAUAUUGAGAAUAUCAGUGCCCUUUUCCACCGCAAAGUUAUCAGCUGAAGAUAUAUCCUCUCUGAAAUAACUGUAAAACAGUUAGGCACUCGUUUGGUUGUUCAAGUCGUGCUUUGCUUUUAAGAAAAUAUACAUAGCAUACAGAGGAAAGGGCAAAUUAGAGUAUGAUAGUAACCCUCAACAGUAUCAAAAUAGAAACAACUGAUCUUUUAAGAAAAUACAUUCCAUACACAGGACAGGACAAAUUAGAGCACGAUAGUAAUCCUCAACAGUAUCAAAAUGGAAAUGAACGAUCACUGAUUCACUUACAUUCCACUCUAUGAUUUCAAUGCCUAGAAAACCUUGCACUUGCAAGUAGUGGGACAAAACCUCAAAAAUAAUAAAACCCAAGGAAAAUCUAAAUCAAGGUAUUGCCCUUCCCACAUUAUAAUCCGCUAUCUCACUCUCCCAUGAAUUGGAGCUCAUUACCACAUAUAUCAUGUUCUCAUGGGUUCGUUCCCAAUGAUCAAUGAAACAGACCAAGCUGCUAAUAGCCCCAAAACUUUGAAGCCCAUGGCCAAAAUGUAAUGAUGAUGGCCCCUUCAAUAGGAGACAAACCACACAUUGUUUGCAUAUGCAUGAAAAGUUGUACAGAGAGAUAUAAGUUAAAAGAUUAGGGCAAGUUGGCCGUAACAUUGCACUACAAGUACAAAAUUUCAAAUAGGAUUUUAGGAUUUUGGGUUUAGGGCUUAGGGUGGUGAAUCGCCCUUAAAAAAGGUGUAUAAUAACGAGAUUGUACAUAAAACUUCAAUAUUACAAUUUGCGUGAUCUCGUAGUGGUCUCUGUAAUCUUGAUAGCGCAAACGCAUAUAAAGUAGAAAGAAAGAAUCUAGGAGGAACCUAAAUCCAUUCUUAUUCCCAUUACAAGCUGCAAAAGAUUCAUGUAAUAAGACAUUACACAUUCUUAUUAAGGGCAUGAUCUAUUAGCACGACUUAUGCAAUUGAAGCAUCGACAUCUCCGAAGCUCCAGCACAUAUGAGAUUUACAUUGUCAAAACAAGUUUAAAAGCUAAUUUUGAUGCAAUUCCAAGCGGAAGAUGUAGUAAUGAUCACGAUCAAAUACCAUUUCAAAAUAAUCAAAUCUAGUACGCAAUCACACGAAUAAAAUUUAGAACAAAUAGCAUAAACCCCUUCAAAAAUAUGCGCGAAUUUCCAUAGACUCAACUCUUGCGCAAACUAGUACCAAGCAGAAGCUCAAUUAAAAAGAAAAGGGGAAAAAAUGUUGCAUUCAUUAACACGAGAGAAUAAGGAGAAUCCAAACACUAUUAAGAGGAUUGCAAAGUAAUUACCAAUCCAAGCUCAAAAAGGAGGCAGGGACUAAUCCAGGUUCUUGCUAUGGCUCUAAUACUGAGAGAGAGAGAGAGAGAGAGAGAGAGAGAGAGAGAGAGAGAGAGAGGUACUUGGCGCAGGGGAAAGGGUGGUGUCUCUCCCUGCACGAAGGGGUUAGGGUUAGGGUUAGGGUUAGUGAAGAGCGGGAGAGGGGAUGGAGAUUGGAGAGAGAGAGAGAGAGAGAGAGAUUUCGGUGGACCGGGUCUUAAUACUGGGCUUUGAACACCGAGUGUGUUUCCGUGGACCAGGUCUUAAAACUGGGCUUCGAAAGUUUCUCAGGGAAUUAGUAUUUGAAGCCCAUUAGGCCCUCUCCUGGCUCAGCCCUGGCCCAUUUAAUAAAAAAAAUACGUGCACCUGAUGCAUCAUUAUAAUACGUGCACGGUGCACCGCACCAUCUUAUACGCCCAUCGUAUCACUUCUUCUUUUCUUUUUUUUGAGAGAGAUAGGUAGCACCCUACCCGCUUCGUUUAUUUUAUUCAGAAAUAAAUUUAGCUGAAAAUGUGAACCAACUAGGAUUCGAACCUUGGAUCUCGGGUACCAAUCACCAAGCCCUUUGCCACUUGCUUUAGGGAUGGUCGGUGCCCAUCGUAUCACAUGCUUCAAACUUCAGUACGGUGACACCUCUUUGAGCAUAUGCUAGGGAUGUCGAUUGAUAUGGAUAUCCGAAAUUUAAUUAGAAUUCGAAACCAUUAGAAGCGGGUUUAGUAGAUACUAAACAGGUAAGAUCAAUACUAAAUAGUAGACCUCGCAAAUGGGUGGACUGAAUAAUCCACGCGCAGAUCAUUGUUCCGCAAGUCAUUUAGGAAUGGAUAAAUUUUAUCCGUAAAUUUUUAGUUGGUUAACAUCUUAACCAAUACCCUCACUAGUGGGCGAGCAGGUAUGCGGGUUACUACAAUUUUUUUUACCUUUUUUUGCUUUUAUACUUUUUCAAAUGCAAAAAACAAAUAUAAUUUUUAAAAAUAUAAUAUAACUUAUUGAUUGAAAUAUCAUAACAUACAAUAAACAAUAUAAAAUCUUAAAAUGCAUAAACUAUAUAAUCUAAGAGUAAUUUUUCAUUCACAAUUUUUGUAACCACAAUUUUUGUAAUAUAAAAUUAAUAAAUUUUUCAUAAUUAUAAAGUCAAUAUCGUAAAGUUUAUAUACUUUUUAAUUAAAAAAAAUGCGGGUAUCCGUGAAUAUAUAUUUUUUAAUUAAAAAAAAUAUGCGGAUAUCCGUGAAUAUCCGCGGGUUGUCUAAAAUGUUCAUAACUUAAUGGAUAUCUAUUCAUUUAACCCAUAAAUUUUUGGAUGAGAAAAGUUAGCAACCGUACCUGUAAAUUUGCGGAUAACCUGCAGGUAUCUGCGGAUAUGGGUAGAGUUUGUCAGGUGUCUCAAUAGAUAAAAUAAAAAUUUAAUAGAUUUGGAUUUUGUUAUAAUGUUUGUUUGUACUCCAAUCGAACCCGAGCCCGAAAUUAAGACUUGUGUGAAAACCUAUUAUAUAUAAAAUGGUAUUUUUAGACAUUUAUUUUAACUAUUAGUAUAUGUUAAUGAUUUAAUUUUAUGUUUGGGAUGGUAAAUAAUCGGUUUCAAUUUCUCAGUUUUGGGUGUGGAUUUUUGGCUUUUAUUCCAGUUCUUUAUGGGGUUUGAAUUUUUGUUACCGUAGAAUUCGGGUACCGUUUCAAAUUUUAAUAUUUUAUGCAGAUUCGAUUUUGAAUUUUGCAAAACAUGAUUCGAAACUGACAAGUUAACAUCGCUAGUAUAUGUGUAUCCUUUUUCUUGCUUUUAAGGUCAAAGUGAGGUUCUUGCUGUUGACCCUCAUUAACUUUAUCUCUAUCCAAAAAUUAUAAUUUUUUCUGGAUAGAUUAUAAUUUUUUUAAAGAAAGUUAAUUUUUUAAAUUUCUAGUAUUAAAAUUUACCCAAUGAACCAUUGGAUUGUAACAAGGAGAAUAAUAAAAAAAUAAAAACACUACGUUGUUUUCUUAUACAUACAAGCCAAAAAAGGAAAGAUUCUGAGAAGAAAAUAAGUGUCACCAUAUGCGCUACAUGCGUUCACGUAUCAUUCGAUAAAAAAAGGCAUCUCUACAGAGAGAAACGAAAUAAUUUUCUUACUUCUAAACAUCUUUAGACACAUAUGACUAGUGAAACGCAGCCAAACUAUUUUGUAAACAUUAUUAAAGCAUACCAAAACAUAAACACACACAGCAGAAAUAGUUUAUUGAUUAGCCAAAUCCCAAUUAAACUCUGAUCACUUUAAAGAGAGAUCUCAAACAAAAAUGUAGGCCACAGACCCACACUGUUAAGUUUUAGACACCACUGUUUCACACUUCAACAACAAAAAUUUAUUCCGAUGGCUCGCGAACAUUAAACUCCUGAAGACGCAAGCCAUAACUUAAAACUUUGCAAAAGAAAUCUGAACUGUCUACUUGGUGCUGUUCAUGUGGCGGAUGAGGUCGACAACACGCGAGCUGCAAAAAUAGGAUAAAACAAAACAAAAACAAAAGAAGGCCAAAUUAGCAAAUAACAUGUUUAGGAUCCUGAUAUAUUUUUUACAACAUAAUUAGAAACAGAAACUGACCUGUAACCCCACUCGUUGUCAUACCAAGACACAAACUUGACGAAGUUGUCGUUCAGGGCAAUACCAGCCUUGGCAUCAAAAAUGCUUGACCUGUUGUAUCAGGAAUGUAAACGCUGAAUAGUUAGGCCAUAAAUUGGUGAAUGACUAUAAAUAUAUGGGACAAACCAGCAACACCACUCAGAGGUGGGAAUCACACGGGUAACAUCAUGGACAAUAAUUGGUAUUACCUGCUAUCACCGACAAAAUCUGAGGAAACCAAGUCCUCAUCUACAUAACCCAAGAUGCCUUUGAGAUUACCCUCAGACUCUUCCCUGUGUUAGCACAAAAAAGAAAGGGAAAGAAGAAAAGAAAAGAAAAGAAAAGAAAGACAUAAAUACAAGAUUUAAAAAGAAGGGAAAAAAGAACAAUUGAUCAAUCAAUGAGCUAGUCCAGAUCCGUGCUAAAGUAUUUUACGAGCUUCACUUAAGCUUAUUAAUCGAGCAAGUUCAUCAACAAAAAGGAGUUUAUUUAACACGUCACUCGCUUCUAACAUAAAUUGCACAUCCUUCAUAGGUUGGCACUUUGUUAAAUAACAGGUAACUAACAUGAAAGACGAAUAAAAAUCAAACAAUUAGCUGCUGACUUACUUGAUUGCAGCCUUGAUCUGGUCAUAGCUGGCAGCCUUCUCAAGCCUAACGGUGAGAUCCACAACUGAAACAUCCACUGUUGGAACUCGGAAAGCCAUACCGGUCAGUUUCCCAUUCAAUGCAGGGAGCACCUUCCCAACAGCCUAUGCAAUUUAAAAUCAUCAAAAAGUUACUUUAGAAGUUGAUUCAAAAUAAAAUUGGCAUAGCAAUAAUUAACCACGGAGAGAGCAAAAUAUUCCGAGUCAAGGAAUCAACGGCCAAGCAGAAAGGAGAGUAGUUGGAAGGCCUUUAAGACCUUUCUAACUCCACCAACCAUUCAAAGAGAUAUUAAAUACUCCGCCUUAAGAAAAAAAGGACAGAAGAAAACCUUUGCUUCGCAAUUAUAUAUAUUCUUACGAUGACUGAGAACAACCCAUUACAAACAGAGAAAUCCAUCAUAUCAAGAUGACACCAUCAUCAACUAAAAUAAGCCAAUAUACACAUUUAGAAGGCAAAAAUGCAGGUAGAUACACAUUCUUUUUCAUCAAUGGAUGCUUUUCUUGUUUGCACCUACACAAAUCUGGUGCAAGCAAAGAAAAGUAAAAAAGAACAGUUUAGAUGUUAGUCAAAUUUGGCAACAAGGCUGCACGUGAAAUACUCCAAAUUUUUAUUACCUAGCAUAUAUUAAGGGAGAUGACCAGUAGUCGUUUAAUUCAGUAGAAAAAGAUGUUCAACAAUUCUCAACCUAAUGUAAGAAUGAUCAACACACAGACUAGUAUAAUCCAUGAAAACAAAAAAUAUAUUCGUAGCCGACAAUGGAGCGUCAUAACAUAAAUAUGUAGUAUACCUUGGCAGCUCCAGUGCUGCUGGGAAUGAUGUUAAAGCUAGCAGCUCUUCCACCUCUCCAGUCCUUGCUUGAUGGACCAUCAACAGUCUUCUGUGUAGCUGAGGAAAAUUAUUAAAGGUUCAUCAGCACAUCUUCAUCAUAAAUGCGCAGAGCAAGUUCAGACACAAAAAUAAAUAGUCACCUGUAAUAGAGUGCACUGUGGUCAUUAAGCCCUCAAUAAUACCAAACCUAUCAUGGAUGACCUGCCAAACAGUUUGCAAGCAUUAAUAUCUAUCUCCCAUAAUCUUUUUAUUAUGUAACUAUGAGGAGAUAAUAUAGAAACCACAAUACCUUAGCUAGAGGUGCCAAACAGUUAGUGGUGCAGCUAGCAUUGGAGACAAUGUCAAUGUCAGGCUUGUAUUCCUUCUCAUUCACACCAACAACAAACAUCGGGGCAUCCUUACUAGGAGCAGAAAUGAUGACCUUCUUCGCGCCACCCUUUUGUCAUAGAUCAUAAAAAAUCAAGUUAAUAUACAUAUAUAUAAACAUAAUGCGACAUACAAAAGAAAGUAUAGCAGACCAUUAAGAGACCAGAGAACACAUUUUUACAAGAAAUAUUGCUUUUUCCAGAACGGUCUGUUUAAGUAUCAUUUCCUAGUGCAAAGAAUAUUCAGUUAUCAAAAUUUAGGAAGUGGUCGAUACCAUAUAAUGCAAAGAAUUAUUACUCCUUUUCUAUUUCCUAUUAUUCUCACUUCGAUAUCACAUAUCACCAAGUAAAAUUGCAGCUAAUAACCCACUGAUAUUCUUCAAAGCUGCUUCAGAGAAGGCUGAAUAUUUGAUAGAUGCUACAUCCAUCAAGCCUUCUCUAGUAUAUAUGAGCUAAAUAAGAUGAUGUUACAGAAUGAUGAAACUAUACAGGAGGAAAUUACCUUCAGAUGAGCAGCAGCCUUGUCCUUGUCAGUGAAGACACCAGUUGACUCCACAACAUACUCAGCACCGGCCUCACCCCAGGGGAUCUCCUCAGGGUUCCUUGAUAAAGAAAUUCUCAGGUCAGAUCUCUAAAGCGAAUUAAUGAGUUGCUGGGCAAGAAAAUGUCCAACAAAUUACCUGAUUCCAAAAACAGUGACUGCCUUCUCGCCAAAGAGAAGGGUCUUAGAAUCCUUCACCUUAAUAUCAUGGUGCUUCCACUGUCCGUGCACGGUAUCAUACUUGAACAUGUAUGUCUGCAAGCAAUUACCGAAAUAACAAUAUGCUAAAUUAAUAUUAACACCAAUAGAAAUCAUUGGUAAAAUUUACAUAAACAAUUUAUGGGGUCAAGAAGAUUCUGAUGUUCAGCAGAUCUUAACAGAAUGUGAAUUUAGUUAUGCAAAUCUCAACUGCAAAGCAUCAAUUGGAACACAGGCGCUACAGAAGCAGUUACUUCAUGUUAUAGGCAAAAAGAAUAGAUGCAAUUGGCCAACUAAGAGGAAAAGGGAAUCAGCCCAAGCAAAUAGAUGGUCGCUGUCAACACUAAAUCUCAACAUUAUCAUCUUGCAAUACCACAAGGCAAAAAAAAAAAAAAGUUUUUAUUGGCUGAUAUUAUAUAAGAUUAGAUGUAUGAUACAAUUCUUACAUCACACAAUACAUUAAAAAAAGGGGUCAACAUAAGGCAUCUUUUCUCCAUUAUGGCCCAGCAGCCAAUUAUAUCUAACAAAUUUCAUAAACAAACUAACCAUACGUCCCUACAUAUCAUCACUUACUUCAUAGGAGACUCAAGAGAAACAUCAUGACAGGAGUUAACAGUAUUGUAAAUUCGCUUCUGAAUCGCUUUUGAAUAGCACUGACAUAUACAUGACACCUUACCCGUUAAUGCAAAUUACAGAACCAAGAAUCAGAUUUGUAUAAACUAAAAAACUUAGAAACAUUGCUUUACUAGAGAUGAAGAUCUGGUAACUAAUAAAUUCAGAUAGGCGGCCAAUCUAAUGUGAUAAAGCAGCACGAGCAUACAACAACAGUUGCCACAGAUAUUUUACCCCGCUAAAUCACAACAUCUUAGCGAUAUGAUCUAGGGACUUACAAGAAAUGGUCGGAGAAUAAUUUAGCCUUUUCAAAAAGUUAAAUAUAUACAUCAAAAAGAAAAAAAAUAAAAGGUCCCACAUAAUAGAGUUGCAACUAUUCAACAAAACCACUAGACCGCUAAACCAUUAAAAUUUAAAGGUAGAUGAGGUAAUUUGAGAUCGCUAGUAAAAAGCUAACAGAGUCGCUAUAUCAAAAAGAUCGAGGCAAUGACACAACCAGCCACAAAUUAACACAACAUUUUCCGAUCAUUCCUCGCUACUCUAUCAUAGUAAGAUCCAGAUCUACAUCGAUCCAAGGCGCAACACGAUAUAUAAAUAAAUCCGCCGCAUACCGAUUAAUCAUAAAAUAUGCAUCAAAGACUACAAACCAGAACAUCUUAGAUCGGAUCUGAGGACAACAAUACCAUGUAAUCAGUGGUGAUGAAGGGAUCAUUGACGGCGACGAGCUCCACAUCAUCGCUCUGGAGAGCAACUCUAGCCACCAAACGUCCGAUCCUUCCAAAUCCUUAUAAAAACAAUACAAAAUCAUCAAAAUCAAAAUAGAUCAAAAAAACCGAAAAAACCUCAGAUCAACUUGUGAAUCAAAGCCGAUCUGGAACCUACCGUUGAUCCCGAUCUUAAUCUUCCCUGAAAAAUCAAAAAGAAAAACAGAAAAAAAAAAAAAACAAAAAUCAUAAGAUCAGUACACAGAUCGAAGAGAAAGAAGAGAAAGAGGAGGCGAGAGAGUAAUCUGAGGAGGGUUUUACCCAUGGCGAUCGACGGAGGCAAAAUGAGAUAAAGAUAUCUGAGACGAAAAUGGAGAUGGAGAAUACAGAGAGAAGCAAGAUCACUGAGGUGUGGCGAGGAUUAAUAUAACGAGAGGUAUUGUUACGAUGAGCUCGAGGCGCACUGUAGUGUUACCCGGUUCUCAUUUGAGGCAGCGCCUUUCACCGUAUCUCGUCCGUUCGUUCUGGGAAAGUAGACAGAUUCUUACGGCUGAAUACGCGCCACGCGUCAGUCUCGUGUUCGCUGUUGCGUGAAUUUCGGAACAAAAUUUUUGGCUGCACAGGGUGUACAAGUGCGUCCUUCUAUACGCAGCGCCCAUAAAUUUCAAUAAUUUACUAACAAGGUUUUAUGACAUUUUAUUAAAGAUUUGUAUACCUAAAUUUCUAAAUUUUGAACGUAUAAUCAAAUCUACCUAUUUAUUACUAUAUAUAAAAGUAGAACACUUAAUAAAUCCUAUAUGAAAAGUUGACACGUGAUUUUCUAUAUGCUUCUCAAAUAUGAAUAUUUGGUUGCGAAUUAUUUAAUAUAAUUAUAGAUAUAUCUUUUCAAUAUUUAUAUAUUUUUUUCAGUUAGCUGCUGAUCUAUACUACUUAUAAAAACGUUAGUUUUGAAUUUUUCCCUUUUCUCAAAAUACCGGUCCCUAUUAAUAUAAUAUUUUUCGCAUAUAUAAUAUUNUUGUGUCAAAUAUGAAAGUUUAGUUGAUCUCAUUAUAUGCUUAAAUAUUAAUGUCAUUUGUAAUUUUUCAUAUCAAUUUUAGUUAUCAUUUUAUUUCGCACAUCAAUAUGUAAAUGUAAAUUAUUUUGCAUACCAAUUCAUAAAUAAUAGAGCAUGAUUGAAUUUUGCAUUUUAGUUGAAUAUUUAAUUUGGUCCAAAUUUUUUUUUCUCUAGCUUGUAUACUUUAAUAUAUACUAUAAUUAAGAUUGAUAGUAUAUUUUUUUAUUUGUUAAAAAAUAUAUAAUUAAUUAGAAAUUUUUUUUGUUACAUAAUAAUUUUUAUUAUUUUAUAUUAUUGUAUUAGCCGUACAUCGCACGGAUGAAAAUCUAGUUAUGACUCAUUAUUUAUUGUUAACUUUUAUGAAUGGAAUUUAAAAUAUAUAUAUAUAUAUAUAUGACUAUACAUAUUAUAGGGCGAGGUGCAUGAGUGUACGUAUACACGCGGUGUAGGGAAUAUAAUUUAGUGAUUGGUGUCACGAGGACGGCCGGAAUUCGAGGGGCGGCGGAGUUUUCUAGAUGGUUCCUUCCGCUGGAUUUCGAACCGUUGCUGGAUUUGGAUUUUGAUUCGGAUUCGGAUUCGGAUUCGGAUCCGGGCCCGCAGAGAGAGAGGGUGUGUUUCUUGGCGCCCAAGGAAAUGGAUUGGUGGAUUUGAGUGUAACGGUCGUAUAUCACGGUUUUGAUUAUGACACGUGGGGCCCGCCGCACACGUUGGUCGCAUGGGAUCGCGGAGUCGCAGCGCAGCCGCACGAUCUUGAACGGCCGGUGGAAAAGCGAUGGACGGGUACGGUAGUGAAGGUUUGAAUAUGUGCAUAUUGGCUACAAUUUAUGCACAAAAAAUCAAAGUACGGAAUAAUUUUGUCGCUCAAUAGCAGUACAAUAUAAUUGAACGAACUAGAAUGGAAUACUAUCAAUAACAUCAAACUAUUUAUACUAUUAAUUUUUUAGCCUUUAAAUUAAGAAAUAAAUAAUUAGAAUGAUAUAGACCUCUAAGAUUGAGUCGAUGGUUGGUUGAAUAAUAUAAUCUAAUAAUCAAAGGAUUAAAUCUAACGAUGGAAAACUCGAUAGCACCAAAUGCUUGAUGCUAUCGAUAGUACUUCAGUCGGACUCAUAAUUGAAUUAUAUAAAUAUUUAUUAUAGAGUAAUUCAGAUUAAUUUUAUUAUUUAUUUUGUUAAAAUAAGCAGUAAAAUUGUCUCGUGCAUAACGUGCAUGAUAAUGAAAAAUUAGUGCCUAUACAAAUUUUUAUACCCAAACCCCAUAGUAUUGGUUUAUCGUGGAUAAACAGUCACUAACUGAAAUCAAAUGAUUCCAAAUUUAUAGAUUAUAAUUCAAAUUUACGAAAAGCAUAUCUUUUUACGCAUCUCUCCUAAUAAAUAUUAUGUUCCUUGACAAUAUAUCAUUUAACAAGCAAAUAUGUUACUAACAAAUUUACAAAUUUAAGCAAUUAAUCCUUCUAUAGGAAAAAAAAAUUUGAGGCUCAGUUACUCUUGUGUAGUUAACUUUAGCAAUAUUUUGUGGUAGGAUUUAGAAUUUGAAAUUGCCGACUAAUUCCCUAAUUAAUGUAUCAAAUCUGGAAGUUUUAAAUUACCAAAUUCAUUUGAUUCCUUUCCCCAAAACAAAAAUAAAAAGAAAAUAAAAAGAAAAUUCCUUCUAGAAGUUCAAAAUCGGAGGGGGAAAAAUCCCAAGUUCUGCACGGCACCACCACCCACGCAUUAGUCAAAGUCAGAAGCAAACCUUUAAUUGGUUUCAAGAUGGAAAACGCAAAACUUAAAUUAUUGUCAGUGUUUAAUAUAAUUGGCUAAUACAAUUGGUUUAAGAUUCAAAUCUAGUUAUUUCAUAUUUUCAGCAAAAUCUCGUUGCGUAUUUGAUUGCAACACUUGCAAAAAAAAAAUUAAACGUAGUAAUAAAACAAAUCUAACUUAAAAUAUAAAAGUAUAAUCCAUCCAAGUACGUAAAAGAUAAAAAAAGAACCGUUUGAAUUGGAGACACACGUAGAUAAAUAGUAUGUAAAUUUUUUGCAAACCCUGUGCGUAUUGAAUGCAUCUGAGUCAUCUAAUAUGGACGAACUAAAUUGUGUUAUUCAGUGCAAUAAUUUAGGAGCCAUCCUUGAAUAUGUUAGGAUUUAGUUAGAUUUGUAGUUGAAUCCUAUUUAGAUAAGAAUUAAUAUUUAAAUUUGUUUGAGAUAAAUUAAGAUUUAAAUAUUAAUUAGAGGAUAAACCUAACUAGAUUAGGAUUAAUAUUUAAAUCUAUUAGAGAUUAAUUAAGAUAGAUUUAGAUAUUAAUUGGAGUAGAAAUCCUAAAUAUAUUAGGAUUGGGGUACGUUUUAGUGGAGCCUUAUAAAUAGCUCUUUGUGGGUUUGUUUUUGAGGUGAGUACGGGAGAGAGAGAGAGAGAAAAGGCCUCUUGGGUGUCGUACCAGAGAGAGAAAAAGAGAGAGAGAGAGAGUUAUUUAGUACACCUAGUGCAUGGGUGCGCGCGGAUGAUUGUCUUCUUUAUGGGUUUAAAGAAGACGAGAGAAGGGUAGAAGAGAUUCAGAAAGAGGGCUCGGGUUGUAGCUACUCUGUGCAGAAGAGGAGUCAGGUGUAAUAUUCUCUUAUUUAAUGAAUCUUAUUUUACCCGCAUAUUUUCUGUUUUGGUAUUUCUCUCUUUUAUGAUUGAAUCAGCAUCUGCUGAGGAGACGGGUUUAUGGUAAAAACCCGAUUUGACGUUUCCGUUGCGGAAUCCCAACAAUCGAUACCGGAUCCACAGCAGUCGGUAUCGGAGCGGGUUGCGGAUUCACGAGAUCCGGUACCGGGGCGAGUACCGGAUUCCCAACAGAAUAAUCUCUUUCAAACGCUACGGUGUGAAACUGAGACUUUAUAUGUGUUCAACAUUAUUGUCUAAAAUAAAUAAAUAGAUAGCUGAGUUUUUGGUGCUUUUUUUUCUCCACAAGAAGCAAAUCACAGUUUUAUUGAAGCCUGCGUUUUCUCUUCUUCUGCAUCACCACAUCUAAUGGCUUCUUCCACCCUCAACAGAUGGUUGAGGCCCGAGGUUUUUUUUUUUUCGAUUUCCCUCUCUUUUAAUUUUGAUUUGAUCUCUUUUUCUUACUAAUUAUGUGAAUUUAUUUACUAAUCUCGAACUGCAUGAAAACAAAAUGACUCAAAUAUUCAAUUGAAGUUAUUCAGAUGAUCGAUCGCUAUAAUACAAAGUUAAUAUAAAGUUCUUUUAACCUUCUCAAAAUUAUCUGUAAUUGUGCAAACCUUCUUGAUUUUUUUGUUUUUCAAUUUUUUUUAUACACGCAAGAGUUUAUUAUUUUUUUGAGAGAUAUGUAAUACGCUACCCGCUUCGUUUAUUUUAUUUGAAAAUAAACUUAGCUGGAAAUGUGAAUUAAUUAGGAUUCGAACUUGGAUCUCGGGUACCAACCACCAAGUCCUUUGCCACACGUAAGAGUUUAUUAUUGUUCUCAAAGAAGUUGAUAAUUUUGGCGCAGGUGUAUCCUUUGUUCGCGGCUGUUGGUGUAGCUGUUGGGAUAUGUGGCAUGCAACUGAUCAGGAAUAUCUCCACAAAUCCUGAAGUGAGGUAUAUUGACUUCAUAUGAGUUUGCGUACGACAAUAGUUACAUCUUAAAAUUGCAUCAAAUUGGUUCGAAUUGAACAUUGUUGGUGUCUAAACCAUGAGCAUGAUAUGAUUCCAAAAUUUCAGCAAAACCAAAUAGUUCUCGGAAUUGUUCGAAUACACCGUGUCUGAGAUUCGAGUGCGACAGGCGCACGAAAUGUAGUUGACCGAGUGCUUAUUUUGGUUCAAUUCUGAAUCAAACUUUUCAAUUGUACAACGUAAAAGGUUCUAAAAGAGAAAGUUGUAAAUAUCUCCGCUAUUCCGCCAAAUGUUCUUUACUUGGAAUUAAAUAGAGAAGAUGUAGAGGUUUGCUUUUACUGCAGCUAACACUUCGAAUAAAAGUUCUCUAAAAUUCUCUACACCCUUGGAAGCUUCAUUCUUAGUCAUUUGGACUAUAGUUGUGUGGCUUUUGCCUUGGUUUUAUGAUAUAUUUAUCGUCGCAAAUUAAUUGAAUUGUUGUAUUCAUCCUUGUUUAUCUCUACCAUAGUUGGCAUAUCUAGUAACUCCUACUUGAUACUGGCAAAUAAAGAAGGAAAGAAACACUAAACUCCGCAAUUUAAAUUACAAAUUGCUGUGUAAUUUUAAUUGUGUGCAGAGUCAAUAAGCAGAAUAGAGCUGCAGGAGUGCUCGACAACUUCGACGAGGGAGAGAGAUACGCGGAACACGGGGUUCGGAAGUUCCUCCGCAACAAAACCCCGCAGAUCAUGCCGUCGAUCAACAAGUUCUUCUCGGAUCCAAACUGAUAGAUCAUCGGCGAUUCUCGAGUUCGCUUUUCACAAUUAUUUUUUGAGUGUUGCUCUCUUAUUGCUGCAUUAAGAAGAGCUUGUAAUUGCCAUUCUAUUCUGGAAUAAAAAUUACAGUAAAUCAUUCAUGGAGAAUAACAGAGGGUUGUAGAACUCUGCGGAAAUAUAAAACAUGUUUUGAUUGAACUAUUAUGAUGCGUAAGGUUUUUUUUUUUUUUUUUUUGAGAACAAAUGUAUUCUAAAAAAAGUAUCAUUAAUAUCUAAUUCUCCGUUUGUGAGUACUACGGAAUUUUCCUAAUAUCAUUAAAUCUGAUGUUUGGAUCUUAUUCUCAACUUUUUUUAUAAAUUCCAUUAGAGAGAUUCUAAGCGGAGUUGGCGUGAAUAAAAAACAUGACUGAACUUGAUCGGCAGUAACACCAGAUUGAACCAAAACUUAUUAACUUUUUAGCUGAAAAACUGAGCCACUAACUAUUUGAGCAAAUCAAUGCAUAUUGAUUUUUUAGAAAUACAAUGUAUGUAUGUUACAGAAUGGUUCGAUGACGGAAUAGGUUCUCAAAGUUGAACCGGAAUUAAAAAUCCAAUUAACUACGGGAUCUGAUUUGAAUUCUGAUACUAAUAACGGGUUAUCGGGUUCUACGAGCACCCCAACGAGAUCCGCUAUACAAGUGCUAGUGGGUGGGCCCCAUCUCAAUUUCGACCGUUGGAUGGCAUACCAGUUUUUAAAAACCUGGAGCGACCUUUGCGCCCUCUCAAGUCUCACCCCAAAUCUCAAACGAAACAAAAAAGAAAAAAGAAAAAACUAGCCGUUAAACCUCCCCCCUCUCAAAUUUCUCCAUUUUUUCUUUUUGUUGCUGUUUUUUGCUUCAAAAUUCUCCUUCAGAUCGCUUCUUUGGAACCCCGUUCGGCGCCUUCGGAUCGAGAAAGAAGGAUCAAAUGGCUUCUAGAACCAUCUCCAAGGACAUCAUCACCCUCAAGGGCUCCGCCGCAAUCGUCGGCGAGUUCUUCGGUAUCAUGAUCUACCCAUUCCUCUUUUUUUUUUAAAAAAAAAAUCCUCCUGAUUUCUUCAUUUUUUGAUCUCUUUGCGCCCGUGUCGUGUUCGCUCUUUUGCCGCACUCGCAGGCUACGCUGCAAACAGGUGAGAGAUUGCCUUCUCCUUCUUCUUCGCAUUUCUUGAAUUGGUUUGGAUUCGGAGACAUGUUGCUAACAUGUGUAAGAUUUGAUCUGCAGCAUACUAUACAAUCGCGGCGUCUACCCCGAGGAAAGCUUUGCGAAGGUGAAGAAGUACGGGCUCACUAUGCUGCUGACGCAGGACGACGGCGUCAAAUCGUUCAUCGCGAGCCUAACUUCUCAAUUAUCAGGUCACAUUCUUGUUUUCGAAACUUACUGUCAACAAUAUUUUUUUAGUAUUCUGAAUCUCUGGCAGUGUUGAUUUUUGUUCCUAUUGUCGAUAGAAUGGUUGGAAUCUGGGAAGCUGCAGAGGGUUGUUCUUGUGAUAAUGAGUAAGGCGACCUCGGAGGUUCUCGAGCGGUGGAACUUCAACAUCGAAACCGACGCCGAGGUUGUCGAGAAAGGGUGAGUUGUUGUAAACACUGAACAGUAAGGAAGAACACAGAAAGAGUUGAAAGGGCGGCCGCGGAGGGGUCGGAUUCCUGAAGUAUGUUAAUAAUAGUGUUUGUUUGUGUGUGUGUGAUUGUUCUCAGGGUCAUAAGGGAGAAGAGUGAUAAAGAAAUCAUGAGGGAGAUCCAAGCGAUCAUGCGUCAGAUCGCCUCCUGCAUCACCUACCUGCCCUGUCUUGAUGAACCUUGUGAGUCAUUUCCUUACCCUUUUAUCUUCACUUGUUUAAUUGAGAAAGAUUGGUAAAGUUGAGUUAAGAUAGUGAAUAGGGCCGUUCCCAUUCCUAGGGAGUCUUGCGCCGUUUUUGCUUAGAGUUUAUGUAGAAGUGCUUUUUAAGUAGUUUAUCUGAAGCAAAAGCAAAAACUCUGAAAUAGAGCCGCGGUACAGUUUAGUUCUCCACAAUGACAAAAGCUUAAGGCAAUCGAUUAGCCAAACAUCUUGUUUUUUGAAGCUUCGAUUUUUGGAGAGGAGAAAAGUUAUUCCAUAAGCCAGACCAAAAGCACUUGUUCAUUUAUCUCUUUUUUUUCCCCCUUAUUUUCCAGGAAUUUUUCACUGUAAUGGGCAAUAAUGGCUAUAAUAUUUUUUUUUUUCUAGGUGUGUUUGAUGUUUUAGCCUACACUGAUAAAGAUGUUGCUGUUCCAUUUACUUGGAUUGAGAGCGACGCCAAACUGAUACAGAAUCCCCAGAUGGUUAAACUGCAUUCUUUCGACACCAAGGUAAUUAAACAAUCUAUAAUUCUUAUUAGAGUAAACUCAGUCAUCUAUUUUUCGCUAAAAUUGUUGAUCACUUGCCUUUGUUCCAAGCUAAACUCUCUCUCUCGCUUUACAUGGAAUGAUGCAGAUACAUAAAGUGGAUACCCUGGUUUCAUACAAGAACGAUGAAUGGGACGAGCAGUAGCCGCUGUUCUCGAAGCUCAUAAGUGGCUGUGAACCGUUCAUUCACAUUGAGGCAUGUGUGUUAGGGAGAUUAUCGGCCGUUGAAUGGCAUCUUGUGCUGAAAUGUGAGAACAAUCAUUUAGAUUGGUUCAAUUUUAUGUGUUGAAUGUUUUUGGUUCUACGAAAUUACCACAGCUUUUUAGAACUUAAAUCUCUGAUGAAGGAAUCGAUAUGCAGUAGACAAAUCGUUCACAAGAGAAUGCUUCUCGAACUAUCUGUAGGAGUAGAAGAAGUAGAACGAAUUGUUCGUCGUGUUCAUUGAUGAUGACCAAGAAAUCGUAGCAUGUCCUGACGCAGUUCUAUUUGCAAAAUGGAAGGUGCACCCUCUCUCAGGGGAUGUUUAUGUCAAUUUCAAAUUAUGUACUCAAUACUGAUACUGGGGGUAAAUUGCACCAGGUGAAUUCAACCUUCCAGCAAAAGUAUCAUGUCUUGCAUUGAAAUUUUCUAUCAAAUACUAUCAUCCUAUGUCCUAUAAAGUAACUUUUGAACUUACAAUUACUUGAUCAUUCUCGCCCAUAAACAAGGAAACUUGAUGAGGAACUUGACGAAAAGGAUCAACAGGAAAUGCAGAAGUUUGAAUCUCAGAUAGAACAAUUCAGAUAGAACAAUUCAAUGAAAAAAAAAAAGAAAAAGAAAAAGAAAAGGAUAAUUUUGUCCCAAUUCCAACUAAACAAAUUAACUGCAGCAUUAGGUAAAAACAAUGCAACGAAGACAGAUUUGAUUGAGAGAUUAUGCGAAAAGAAAAUUGCAUAAAAUUUACUUGGAAUUACGGCGGAAAUUACUUUUCUGAUGGCAAUUAAUAUUAAGUCUGAGGCAAAAGGGAAAUUCACCUUUAAUGGUUCCCAUCUGUAACGUCAAAAUGAGGAAAAAUAAAAGACACACCAAAAGAUGAUAAAUAAUAAAAUUUACAUUCGCCGCAUUCAUCGACCAGAAAGUUUUAAACCAACAGAAAACAUGUCUGAAGGCUUUUACCGGCAAGAUUCACAGUGUGAAGGUUAUCUACAUAUUUGAGAGCCCUAACCAACUCAUAUGUGGGUUGGUAACAGUUUCAUGAGCCCCUAGAUACAAAAAUAAACACUAGUUCAAACAUUAAAUCAGAUCUAUGCGUGCUAAAGCAAAUAAAGUAACUUCAUAUAGUCCAAAAUAGAAGGUCAUUGCUUCUAUUCAGGCCAACAAUAGUAUGUAUAACUUCUUCAAAAAAAUCAGUAAAUAUUCUUCACUGAGUUGAAUGUUUCAGAUCUCUCUUAAUCUCAGUCACCUUAUGCCCUGAUACAUCGCACCCGGACGAAGCUCAUCCAAUGUAUCAACACUUCGGAAGCCACUAAGUUCUCUUAGUCCAGUCCAACCACGGCGUGAGAGAAAGUCGCAAAAAUCUUUUUCAGUGUAGAGAGUCUUUUCUUCAGUUUGGACUGGUAUGCGAUCUGUGUCGUCAUACAUGCACACUUUGAUACUUAUCCCUGAAAAGAUUAUACACGAGAAGUCAUAAAGCGGAAGUAUUCAUAUCCGUCAUUAUAAAAUCUCCAUUGUGUAUAUAGCAAAUGCAGUUAUGGAUAACCACACAAUAUUACGAUAAGCUGGAUACAAGGGAAAUUUGCAUUAUAUAAGUUAGAAGAGGGAGUUUCAUGGAAUCAGUAGGCACAACUUGAUUUCUAUGUAGCAUAGCCAUAUCCAUAGAGACUAGUUGUAAGCUUUCAUUAAUUUAACUAUGAUCAAUUGUCAACUAGUGUAUUAUUUCUCUCCUUCCUAAGAGAUUGCUUGUUUCACAUUCUUUUCUCCGCAAAGGCCAAACCACUAAUAAUUGCCUAAUUAUUGUCGUUUCUAUUGUUGUUAGUGUAGUUGCACCAAAAGGAUUAGGCAGUUAAAUCAUGAUUUUAAUCUCUUAAUUCUCGUAAAAGUUGAACUACAAGCAUUUUUGAACGGACUAAUAAUCCUAAUUUGUUUUUAUCCUUCCACGAAUCAUCUAGUAUAGUACUCGUAACUAGUCCUUGCCUCUUACCUUGGAUAGGCCAAUAUGAAGCAGAAAAAGGCCUUGUGAGAUGCACGUAUGAUGAUAGAUAACAAAAUUUGUAGAAAAUUAGAAAUAUAUGAUGAAUAUUAUAAACUAAAAGAAGAUCGUUCAAUUAUCUGGCAAAAGUAUAUUAAUUUUACCCUCAUCAAGAUGAAGAGUAUAAGUUCCUAAUGGCAUGUCCCUGUCAAAGCUGCGAACUACAUCAUCUUCAUCUUCGAGCCAAAAGGCCCUUUUAGUUCUUAAUCCAAACGCUGAUUUGAUGGCCUCCUUAAUUGCCUCAGCAGUGCCAUCAAUACCUAUCCUUUUAGUGUACUCUCCCCAUUUGACUAAAAUAACCCUUCCAACAUAAGAAGGAUGGUUGUCGCCACCUGCCAAUAAGGUUAAGACUAAUUAAUAGAGUGAAAGCAAUCCAGGACACCCAAUAAACUAAAAGAGCACUAAUUAAAUUGCAAUUGCAAUUAGCAAAUUUUACUUUGCAUAUUCUUUUUUUCAGAGAUAAAAGGUUAAAUGUCGACUCUUAAGCAGCAAGGACAGGUCGUUCCCUUUCAGUAAUACUAGUAUCUGCUAUAUAGUAGUAUUACUUGAUAUUUGCUGAACUUCUGAUGAACUGUGAUUUUGGUGUCUAAUCUUUUUCUCUUAGACAUGCCUAUCUCAAUCUAACCUUUUUUUUGCAAUGUCAUCCACAGAUUCAAUUCCACCCAAAUCAAUGUUUCAUUCCGCAUUUGCUCUCCAUACGACAACUGAUACUAUUAGAUGAUUUUACUCAAUAUUCAGUAAAAGGUCAUUUAACAU
rnacentral:lncRNA from 1 species